rnacentral:lncRNA from 1 species
AUACAGACCAAUUGCAACGAAUCUUGCGAGAUCGUUUGAAUGGUAAGAGAUACUUGCUUGUUAUGGAUGAUGUAUGGAACGAAGAUCCUGAAGCAUGGCGUAAAUUAAAAAGCUUAUUGUUGGGAGGUGCUAACGGAAGCAAAAUUUUGGUAACCACACGUAGCAGGAAGGUUGCUUCAAUCAUGGGCACGAGGGGAGGUACUAUUGGCUACAACUUACAAGGUCUACCAUUCGAGGAUUGCUUGUCUUUGUUUAUGAAAUGUGCAUUUAAAGAAGAGCGAGAUAAACAUCCAAACCUCAUAAAAAUCGGGGAAGAAAUUGUGAAAAAAUGUGGGGGAAUUCCUCUGGCAGUCAGAGCACUAGGAAGUCUAUUAUAUUGCUCAACGGAUGAACAUGAUUGGGAAUAUGUGAGGGGUAAUGAGAUAUGGCAGUUAGAGCAAAAGGAAAGUGGCAUUUUACCUGUUCUGAGGUUAAGCUACGAUCAAUUGCCGCCUCAGCUGAAACAAUGUGUUGCUUAUUGUUCAAUCUUUCCCAAGGAUUAUGAAUUUGAUAGUUAUACUUUGGUUCAAUUUUGGAUGGCUCAUGGUCUUCUCCAAUCCCAUAAUAAGAAUGAAGAGUUAGAAGAUAUUGGUAUGCGGUACUUGAAGGAAUUACUAUCAAGAUCUUUCUUCCAAGAUUUGACUUUUGGGAUGUUUGGAUUGGAUUUUUUUUUUUUCAAAAUGCACGACCUUAUGCAUGAUCUUGCCCUGCUAGUGGCCAAAGAUGAAUUCCUAGUAGUGAACUCUGAUUGUCAAUUUAUUCCCAAAAGUGUCCGUCAUUUGUCAUUUGGUACUGCUAAUGCAUCAAGAAAUAACUUUUCAAGCCUUUUAUUUGAUCUAGGUCGUGUGAGAACCAUUUUCUUUUCAACUGAUGAUGAUGAGAAGACAAGCCAAUCAUUUGUUGAAUCAUGCAUCUCAAAGUCGCAGUUCCUAAGAGUGCUCAAUUUAAGUGAAGCUGCUAUUGAGGUUUGUCCCAAGAAGAUAGGAAAUUUGAAGCACAUGAGAUAUCUUGAUCUGUCGAAAAAUUAUAAAAUCAAGAAACUUCCAAAAUCCAUUUGCGAGCUACAGAGUUUACAAACACUGGAUCUUGAAGGAUGUCUGGAGCUAGAAGAGUUGCCUAAAGACAUAAGAUACCUUGUCAGUCUCAGAGUGUUUGCGCUAACCACAAAACAGAAGUCUUUGCAAGAGAGUGGAAUAAGGAGCUUGGGUUCUCUUCGUUGUUUGACAAUUUCUGGUUGUAGGGAUUUAGAACAUUUGUUCGAGGAGAUAGAUCAGUUAAGUCUCCUUCGAACAUUAUCAAUUGAAGGUUGUCCUCGUCUAAUCUCAUUGCCACCUGCUAUCAAAUAUCUCAGCUCAUUAGAGACUCUGCUUUUGGUUAGGUGUGAAAGCCUUGAUCUUAAUCUGAACGUGGAAAUGGAAGGUGAAGGAAGUCAUCAUGAUCGCAAAAACACAAGGCCUCACCUUCGGAGGGUUUUCAUCGGGGAAAUAACACAGUUAUUAGAACUGCCACAAUGGCUUCUUCAAUGUUGUACUGAUUCUUUACAGAGCUUGGUAAUUUCUGAUUGUCCCAACUUCAUGGCACUACCAGGGUCUCUAAAAGAUCUCGAAGCUCUUGAAACUCUUGUCAUUGCACAAUGUCCAAAAUUGUCAUCGUUGCCGGAGGAUAUGCAUCACCUCACUACUCUGAAAUUAUUGGCCAUUGGAGGAUGUCCUGCACUGAGUGAAAGAUGCAAACCGCCAACAGGUGAAGAUUGGCCCAAGAUUGCACAUAUCCCUCAGGUUCAUCUUGAUGGCGAGAUGAUUGAAUCAAGUGAUAAUUAGGUAUGGAUUUUUUUUUUUUCAAUAAGCGUACCACUCUGUUAUAUUUCCUCUUUUCAUGCAGCUUUCUAAUUUUUAAUUUCUCAUACAGCUAUACCGUUUAUAGUUUAAUGUUUUGUUAUGUUUACCAAACGAAAACUUGACUUUGAACGUUAGUUAGUUCAAUCAAAUUUGUACUAAUUUAUUUUCUUCUAAUACAUAAUUAGGUUGUCAGUACGAAAAACAAAAAUAAUAUUUUGGAAACCGCACUGUUCUAGGGGUCAGAUCUGUUUCUAAAUUCAAACAGUUCAGGAUUUUUCAAAAUGAGAUAUUUUUUUUUAAUUAUCUAGUUAUCUUCAUAUGGAAUUUCAAUCUUUGUUAAUACUUUAACUUGCGCCGAAACAUCUAACAAUUCUUCCUCUUAUCCUUUUUUUUUCCCAAAUAUUGCAGCUUUCUUGGGAGAGGUUCAACAAAACUGCAGGGACAGUGAAAAUAUUACUCUAACGUUGUUCAGAACAGAGCUUCAACGGUUUUAAUGUUGUGUUUUAAAGUUACAAGCAUUAUAUAUUCGUUACGUGUGGUUAUGUAAUUUGCUGAUAAAUAAGUACAUUGAGUGAGGUAUAUGUGUGUGCCUGUGUGGUCAUUACUGAAUUUCUCAGUAAUAUAAUUUGCAUUGACUGCAGAUUUGUGAAGAACAUUGAUACCAAACAUGUGGUGUCUGUAUUUUGUGCUUUGUGAUUCACAGCGAGUUUGCAAGAACGUGUACAGAGGAAUAAGGCAGAGGCCAUGGGAGAAAUGGGCAGCUGAAAUUAGAGACCCUUACAAGGGCGUCCGCGUUUGGCAAGCUGCAAGAGUUUAUGCUGACGUCGCCGAGAAUAUCCGUGGCAACAAGGCCUAGCUCGACUUUGCUCACCGGCCGCCAGUAACUCCACCUCCAGGUAAGAAACGCUUCGUGCUAUCCCGUGAGUUGACUCAGCCGAGUUUCGGAGAUUACUUUUUUAUUGGUUUUCAUUGAUUUCUUUUCCUGCUCUUAUCUACGAGGUUGUGCUCUCCCUUGGAUGCCCUUUAAUAAACAGCUUUCCUAAUAACAACUGAAGCGAAAAGUCAUUUUAUCAAAUAAUUUGGUGAAAUUUCAAGUACUUUCAUCUUGGUUUUUGCAGUUAAUAGGAAAUAGUUUGGUGUUGGGAUGUGGUAUAUGUAUCAAGUUCUUAUUGCUGGUGAACAUUACUGGUUUAGUGUGCGAUCGUUUACUAUCACUGCAUGCAUUAUCAGUUUAUUUUAUUGAACUAUCCCAAAUCAGUAACGAAUCCUCAAUUCCCUCUGUUUUCUUUGGAUCCUAGUAGUGUUUGGCAUGCAUCAACUAGUGUUCAUGCAUGUGUCGGUUCGUCAUAGAGAACUUCAGCACACAUACAACAGCCCUCAUUUCUCCUUGCUCCAACCAAUCGAUGGCAGAAUCAUCACAGACACCUUGAGCUCUGUCGAAUCAUCAUAGACAAUUUGUGAUUAGUGGGAGCAUUACACGAAAGUUACGAUUACUUCAAACUGUUAGUUUGUUUAUAUGAUUCGGCUAUAGUUCUAUAAUUGGUGAGUUUUUGUGGGUUUGUUUGAUAUUUUUUUGUGGGUUUGUUUCUCAUAAUCUUUAUCCAGUCAAAGCAAACGUUCGCCUCUCACAUUGACGGUUAGGCUAGAUGUUUGACCCUGAAUAAGAUGAUUGAGUUUAUUAUAGUCUUCUUAUAUUGUCGGUUCAAUAUCAUUUUGAAAUAUCACAUCAAUUCCGCUUUUGGAGUUUUAAUCCAUGCCCAGUUACACCUUUAUUUUACUUUUAAGCUGCAACAUUGAGUCACAUUCUUUUUCUGUUAUUAUUACGAUUAGCGACUGGUACAGUGGUAUUUGAACUGCAUAGCGUGUCAACAUUCACUCUAAAUGUCUUAGAAACUGUCUAUCACUAAUUUCCUAGAACAGGCCUCGUUGACAGUCAAAGAUUUGAGGCGUAUUUCUGGAUUGAAGGCUUUUCUCUAGUCAAUUUGAUGAUAAGCGCAUUUAUUAUCUCCAGCAUUAAGCAGUAAUUUGUAACUAGCUGUAGCCAGUACCUAAGAUGUUGCAUUUGACUGUCUUGUCUUUCUGGUUCAGUUUCGACCUUUGGAGCUGUUUUAGACAUGGGAACGGAUAGGUAAUUUCUCUCUACCCCACCCCCCAAUGUAUCAUUAGUCAUCAUUCGUUCUGGUUGGUGGAGAUACACAUACUAAUUUGGAUUAUUGUCCGUGCCUUCGUCUUUUGUCAAUAAUCUUUUGCAUUUCAGGAUUAGUACAGCUUGUCUACUGGUAAUACUCUCUCAACUAUACAGGUAAGACUUUGUUACGUUUUCUUGACCCGUAAUCUAAUGUUUUAAGAUGAAGGCAUAAUUGAGCUAUUUUGCAUCUCCAUGCAGGCCUGGUUUGGUUUUUGUGUCACUAUCUGCAUUAGAUAUUGGUAGUCAAUGGCUGCAGAUGUACAGGUACCUUUUCGUUUCCCUGACAUAAUCUCAUGUUACAUGAAAUUGCACGUGGAACUGGGAGAUUUUUUAUUUUUUAUUUUUUCAUAUUUACUAAAGAAAAGUGUUACUUUCGUUGGGAAAAAUGCCUACCACUCUCUAUCUCUGUUGCAGUACAUUCUUAGCAGGAAAAACUAGCCAUAAAGAUGCAAAAGACAGCACAAAUUGGCUUUUCAAAGCCUAUUAUGGGAACGGGAUGUUUAUGGGUUAUUGUUGUGUGGUGUGUGAGGUAAUUGUAGCUUUCCGUGUUAUUAUACAUAUCAGGAUUUGCAAAUGUUAUCAGUACUUUUUACCUGAUCCAACUGUUUCAACCCUGCAGCUUCUUUACCUAAUCCUAUUUCUUAUUGCGGAGAAGCAGAGGGAAAGCUUGGUGGAUGUAGGCUCUCAUUUUCUUGCUAUUAGAUUGUUCUGAAAAUAGAAAUAUUUCCCCUGUUUCUCGAUUUUCAAACAAUUUCUUCUUUCAGGUUGUGGCGAGUGCUGUGCAACAGGGUUCGCCUCUUUCCUUCCUAGUUGCAUUGAGUUUAUUCGCAUGGGCGCAAUCAAGCAAACGAUUAAUGUCGUACAGGUAACUUCAACCCCAUAUGAUGGUAAUGUUCGUUUAAAUAAAUUUCUUGAUGUCUACAAAUUAAGAAAACCUUUGUAUGGGUAAAGUUGACAUUUUACACUGGCAUUAUGGAUCUUGAAAUCGGUCUCUUUUAGAUUCACAUGCUGUGAUAUGCUCUAAUGUUAAAACUCAAACCUUUUCUGUAUGUUAAAUGGAUUGUCGUGGAUAUGCCUGGGAUGAUCAUUUUCUUCGUUUUCACUCAUCGUCUUUGUCAUCGUAGUUAUAAUUUGAUUGUGGAGAGUGAAAACGCACUGUGAUGAAUGAAUGCAAAAGCUAUGUAAUUAAGACUACAUUUAUUAGGUUGGUGACCACAAAUAAUCGGAAGGAUAUUCACAAUAGUGUUAUUGAAGCUCUAUAUGGAAUAAGGAGACCAAACCUGUAUGUGAUAAGAGUUGUAUGAAUACCAAAUGAAUUGUCAGAGGAUAUGGUUACUUUAGAUUGCUUGAGUUCUAAAAGCACAGAAGUGGGAUCAGUCUCUUGCUCGAGGGUAAACUCCUUCGUCAGUUAGUGAACUGUCCAUCAAAAGUAAAUAUUUAUGUGAUUGAGAGAAAUUUUGGAUUUUUGAUGAAAACAAAAAUCCUGUAUGCAUUUGCUUGCCCCCAAGGAGCUGAAGAUUCUCAAAUUGUUUGUAGACGUAAUAGUUCUUCUGAUAUCAUUUGGCUUGCUAAUCUUUCUUGCUCGAAAAUUUACCCGUUGUGUGGUCUUGAUGGUGGGUGAAAUUGAUGUGUGGUUUCAGAUGAAGACGGCAGCAGAUAUGUGUGUGCCAUAUGACAUCGAGAAAAAGCAAAAACCUUAAAGAGUUCAUCAACAUUUUCCAUUCAGAAGAAUCUGUUUUGUGGUUUUCAUGCUCGAGUGCCUACUUUUCAGUAUGCAAGCAGAGGAUUUGGCAUUAAUUUGGGGAAGCCUUUUUUUUGGGUAUAUGAGUGUGUUCAUUCCUUCAAUCACGUAGCUUUGUGCCAUUAACAUAAUGGCAAUUCCACAAUUGUGAUAAUGAUAAUUUUAUGAUUGGGGCAUAUUGUUAGGAAUUCUUUACUGGUUUUUCUUUCCCCAUCUGUGUCUAUGAUUAAGGUUGUUUAAGGUGUUAUGGCUUUUAAUCUGCAAUCAUUGCGAAAGGGACUCACUAGCCGGCAAAUAGUAAAACAUAGUGCUGUCAGAUUUAUAAGGAUUAUAUAUGUUUGGGAGAAAUAUGUCGACGAGACCAGGCAUGGUGAGCAGAUAUCUGAUGGCAGAGUUCUACAAACCGGUGUGUUCCGUAAAAGCCUGGUGCGCGGGGGAACAGGAGCAGAAAUAUCCUGCUCGUCCACGAGCACAUCAUCCGCGAGGCCAAUAUCCUGUAAGAGGCAUAAGGCCAUUCCGGCUAGAGGUCGAGAGGCGAGGAGACCCGGUCGACGGCAGUUGGCAAGACAUGCUCUCCAGCCCGAGAAUCUAGGCACGACAGCCACACUUUCCCCAGAACCACGGCGGAACACGCAAGAUCCCACGUUUGCCCAUAACGCAGCAUAACUCAGCAGUCGGAGUCCCAUACCGUCCCCCAAAAAACGGAAACAAGAUCUCACAGAACCACGACAGCCACGCUUUCCCCAGAACCGUGGCGUAACACGCAAGAUCCCACGUUUGCCCAUAACGCAGCAGUCAGAGUCCCAUACCGUCUCGAAAAAAGCAGAAAACUCGGAUUCAGAGGAAGCCUAUAAAAAGGUAGCCAACGAAGGUAAAGGGGUUGGUAUUUUUGAGAUGAGAAAAGAAAUUCAAAAGAAGAGAAAACCACGAAAAAGCCAUAAGAUCUGUGGCAAGCGUUCCCCGAACCUUCAUAUCUGACUUGAGCAUCGGAGGGUUUGCGCCGGGAAAAUAACCGGCGUACUCUGACUUGUCUGUGUGCGCAGGAACCUCUGGAGAAGAAGCCUUGCGAGGAGACCUCCUGGUCGUGAUGAAGCUGAUCGAGCAGAGAUCCUGGUCAUAGAACGAGGAGAACCGGAAUCCUGCAUCAACAUUUUGGCGCCGUCUGUGGGGAUGAGAGCAAAAAGCUUCUGUUGAUAGCAAGAAGAGGGGUGAAGCAAGUGAAAAGCAAUGGAGACAGGAGGAAGUAGUGCACAAGGGGGUGAUAGGAGGCUUAACGAUUCCGUGACGCUGAGGGAGAUAGUCAGUGAAGCACGAGAAAAAGUCAUGUUCGACCGGAUGGAACGGAUGGAAAAGCAGAUGGAGACCUUGACAACCAUCCUGCAUGAGCUGCGGAGCGAGCGAAGGGUAACCCAAGAGGGAAGGGUGAGAGGCGGUGGAGUGGCACCAGGUCCCGAUAGUGCGGGGAGAAGUCAAACCACCGGGAGAUUUGGUGGUGAGAGAGGUAACGUACCUCUGCGGGGAGAAUUUCAUAGAGAAAGAGAGCAGUCCCCGGCAAGACAGACUGGUGACGAGGACGACGGGGUGGUGAAUGCAGAGGAAACAGAGUUGAGGCAACACUUGCAUGAUGUAGAGCAAGAGCGGGAUCAAGUUACAGCACGUGACCCUGGUCGUGCAGUGCAGCUGGAAGAGGAAGUGCGCAGACUAGCGCAGAUAAUUGACGACAUGCAAGGAAGGAACAGAGCCCCUGGUUGGAGGAUAAUGCUGGACGGAGAAUCACCGCUUGCAGCAGAGAUCAUGAGGGCAGUUAUUCCGAGAGAUUUCCGCCUCCCAGACCUCAGAUACUCGGGAAGAACUGAUCCGCUGGUGCACAUAGAGCGCUUCAACGACAUAACUGGGGUACAAGGAUUAUCUCAAUCCCAAAGGUGCAGGGUGUUCCCACUAUCCCUUGAGGGACGUGCACGAGAAUGGUACAGGAAACUUCCUCGGGGCAGCAUUAAAACCUUCGAGCAGAUGUGCCAGGAAUUCGCGGAGCAGUUUAGUGGGGCAAUGGCACCGGAAGAUGACAUGAUGGAGCUGAAAAGCAUGAAAUAGGGGGAGCAAGAAACCCUUCGGGAAUUCAUCAAGAGGUUUCAUCGGGCUGUCCUCGACUUGGGAGCCUUCAACCACCCUCAGGCGUUAAGGGGAUUGAAAGAAGGGGUGAAGAUAGGAAGACUGUGGUACAAUUUGAGAAGCCCAGCUGUUCAAACGUAUGCAGCCGCAUACGAACAGGCUAAGAGAGACAUCGAGAUUGAAGAGGAGAAGGCUGCACGGAUUAAGACAGACCAGUUAGAAGGGUUGGGGAGGAAAGAGAAGAAAGCAUUACCGGGGAAUGGGCCGAUCAGAAGGAGGGACCACCAGGCCUCCGGUAGUGGAGCAGGAGGUCGGGUAACUGCUUACCAGCCUCAUCAGAGGCCACCACAGUAUCAGCGCAGCAGGGCGCAACCUCCUCGUUCCCCAGCUAGGGAGCCUUGGAGAAGGCAUGAGUCGGCAUCUGGUGGUCUUCAUCAACAUCCCCACGGUAGCAGAGCGAGCAGACCAGAAGUACUUCCACCGCCCCCAACUCAGAGCGGGGCAAACAGAGAAAGAGCAGUGCACCUGAUCGACCAGAACCCGGACUAUGGGCGGUACACUUCCUUGAAGAUGUCCCUGGAUGAGGUGUACGAGGCCAUAAAGGAUCGAGGGCUGCUGCACCUCCCUACACCAAUAACAAAGCUACCCAACAGGAGGGAUAGAGGACGUUAUUGUAAGUUCCAUGGCACCCAUGGCCAUACCACAGCAGAGUGUAGAGAUCUCAAGACCCAGGUCGAAGAUUUGGUGAGAAAUCGGUACCUGGACGAGUUUAUGGAUGGGACUUUCCCGAUGGUGGCCACAACAGGUGAAGGGGAGUAGAGUGGUGGAAACUUGAGGCGCGAGCAGCCCGCAGUAAGGGUGAUAGCUGGGGGCCCAACAUUGGCCGGAGAUUCCAACAGAUCGAGAAAAAAUUAUGCUAGGUACGCCAUGACCAGUAAAGAGGUACUCUUCAACACCCCAGCAGCCAAACGAGCAAGGGUCAGGCAAGUGCCAAUCAUGUGGACGGAUGAGGAUGAGGAAUGGAUUCUAUACCCCCACGAGGAUGCUUUAGUCAUCAAGGCUACUGUCGCUAGCAAGAAGUUUGACCGGAUACUGAUUGAUACAGGGAGCUCAGUUGAUGUGUUAUUUAAGUCAACCCUGGAAGAGAUGGGAAUAGCCGACCGGAAGUUGGAAUACACCAAUACCUCCUUGAAGGCGUUCGGAGAAGGGAAGCUGGUCCCUCUGGGCGUGGUCGAGCUGCCUAUCACAAUUGGGAGCUCCCCGACAGAAAGAACAAUGAUACUGGACUUUGUCGUAGUGGAUGAGGAAGGUCCUUACCAGAUGAUCCUAGGUCGGCCAUUUUUAAGGAUGAGCAAAGCGGUGUUGUCCAACCAUUAUCUGGCUCUGAAGUACCGGGUGAAUGGGGUAGUAGGAGUGGUACGAGGAGACCAGAGGAUCGCAAGAAGCUGCUACUCCUCAGCAGCAAGGGAAGCAAUGCAGAUAACAUCCCUCGAUACCCGAGUGGAAAACAAGAAGGGCAGACAAGAACCUGUAGAGGAUCUGGAAACAGUAAGCCUGGGACCAGAGAACCCGGGAAAGACGAUCAGAAUCGGGUCGAGACUUAAGGGAGAGCAAAAGCAGGAGUUGGUGAAAUGCUUACAGGCUCAUGCUGAUGUGUUUGCUUGGACACAUGAAGACAUGCCAGGGAUUGACCCUGAGGUAGCAUGUCAUAAGCUGGCAAUAAAGAAAGGUGCUCGGGCAGUAAGGCAGAAGAGGAGGUGCUUUAACCAGGAGAGGUAUGAGGCUAUAAAUGGCGAGGUGGAGAAGCUCUUGAGAGCAAGGUUCAUUCGGGAAGUCAGUUACCCUGAGUGGAUAUCAAAUGUGGUGUUGGUAAAGAAGGCAAACGGCAAGUGGAGGAUGUGUGUGGAUUUCACAGACCUCAAUAAGGCGUGCCCAAAAGACAACUUCCCUUUACCAAAGAUCGAUCAGCUAGUAGAUUCAACGGCUGGACAUGGUCUGCUUAGCUUCAUGGACGCGUUCUCGGGAUACAACCAGAUCCCCAUGUACGAGCAGGAUGAGGAGAGCACGGUUUUCAUCACUAACCAAGGUUUGUUCUGUUACAGGGUAAUGCCAUUCGGUCUCAAGAAUGCUGGGGUCACCUAUCAAAGGCUGGUGAACAAAGUCUUUAAGCCGUUGAUUGGGAAAACCAUGGAGGUGUACGUGGAUGACAUGAUCACCAAGUCCAAAAUCCCGAAGGAACAUGUCAGACACCUCGAGGAGACAUUCGAGCUUUUGAGGAAGUAUAAGAUGAAGCUCAACCCGGAGAAGUGUGCUUUUGGGGUCGAGUCAGGGAAAUUCCUUGGAUUCAUGGUGAGCCAUAGGGGGAUUGAAGCAAAUCCCGAGAAAAUCCAGGCGAUUGUGCAAAUGACGUCUCCUCGUAACCUGAAGGAGAUGCAGAGCCUCACGGGGAGGUUGGCGGCGUUGAGCAGAUUCAUAUCCAAGGCUACAGAUAAGUGUCAGCCAUUCUUUCAAGUGAUAAGGAGGGGAAAGAAAACAGAAUGGACCCCAGAAUGCGAGGAAGCCUUCCGGAACUUGAAGCAAUACUUGCAGCAAGCUCCGCUGCUGUCCACACCGAGGGAUGGGGACAAGUUGUAUCUGUAUUUGGCGGUAUCGGAUCGGGCCGCCAGUUCUGUUCUGGUGAGAGAGGAAGAAGGAGUUCAGUAUCCGAUAUACUACACCAGCAAGGCCCUGCUCGACACUGAGACCAGAUACCCACCGUUGGAGAAAUGGGCACUUGCCCUUGUGGUUGCUGCUCGGAAGUUGAGGCCAUAUUUUCAAGCAUUCCCGGUCUCGGUAAUAACAAACCAGCCAUUGCGUCAAACUCUGCACAAGCCAGAUGCCUCUGGUCGGCUCGUCAAGUGGGCUGUAGAGCUGAGCGAGUUCGACAUAGACUAUAAACCCCGCGCAGCGAUAAAAGCCCAGGCAAUGGCCGAUUUCGUAGCUGAAUUCACAGAGCCUGAAGUAUGCUUAGAUCAACAAGAUGCAGUUAUAGGCAAUGACGAAACUCAAGUAUGGCAGAUGUCUGUGGAUGGGUCAUCAGGGGAGCGGGGUUCAGGAGCAGGGAUUGUCUUGGAAGGCCCAGAGGGGGAGGAGAUCUCUUAUGCUGUAAAGUUGGAAUUUGCAGCCACGAAUAACCAGGCAGAGUAUGAAGCCUUGAUAGCAGGUCUGGAAUUGGCUAAGGCCGUGAAAGCAGACAGAGUUAAGAUCAGAACUGAUUCCCAGCUGGUUGCGAAUCAUGUCAGUGAAAGAUUCCAACCAAGAGAGGAGAAGAUGGAGCAGUACCUGAAGAUAGUCAGGCAGAUGAUGGGGAAGUUCGAAGCAGUGGAGGUGAUACAAAUCCCCAGGGAGCAGAAUAGUCGAGCAGACAUUUUGGCUAGGAUGGCAGCAGUAGCCGACCCAAAAAUGCCAAAGUCGGUCCCUCUGGAGGUGAAGUCCAGCCCAAGUAUCGAUCAGAAUUUGGGGGUGUUGCGGAUAGAACAAAAAUGCUCGUGGAGGGACCCGAUAGUUUCAUACCUUAGAGACGGGGUAUUACCACCAGAUAAGCUGCGAGCUCGCAAGAUUAGAGCCCAGGCCUCGAGAUACACGAUGAUUGAUGGGGUACUGUAUCGGCGAGGAUAUACACUACCGUUCCUUCGGUGUUUGAAUGAGGACGACGCGGAUUACGUACUGAGAGAAGUACAUGAAGGAAUUUGCGGAAAUCAUUCUGGCGGGAGGUCCCUGGCCCACAAGGUUCUAAGGCAGGGAUAUUUCUGGCCGACAAUGCACCAGGAUGCGCAAGAGAAGACCAGGAGUUGUGUAAGCUGCCAGAGUUUUGCAAAUUUCUCUAACCAACCACCAGAGAAGCUCACCUCCAUGACCUCCCCCUGGCCAUUUGCUCAAUGGGGAAUUGAUCUGAUCGGCUCAUUGCCAAAGGCACGAGGAGCAGCAACACAUGCAAUAGUUGCUAUAGAUUACUUCACGAAGUGGAUAGAGGUAGAAGCCCUUAGCAGGAUCACAGAGAAGAAAACAACAGAUUUCGUGUGGAGAAACCUGGUCUGUCGAUACGGGAUCCCUUAUGCCUUGGUAACGGAUAAUGGCAGGCAGUUCGAUAAUCACAGCUUCAGGGAUUUCUGCCAGAACCUCGGGAUAGAGCUGAAGUAUUGCUCGCCUGCUCACCCUCAAUCGAAUGGACAAGUAGAAGCAGCCAACAAGACCAUCAAGAGGCUUUUGAAAACCAGGCUUGGAGCAAAAAAGGGUGCGUGGGUUGACGAGCUGUCAGGUGUGCUAUGGGCAUACAGAACAACCCACAAAAUCGCAACUGGGGAGACACCGUUCGCUUUGGCUUUCGGACAUGAAGCGGUCGUGCCGGCUGAGAUAGGAACGACCACACACCGGACAAAUCAUUUCAAUGAGCAGGAGAACGACGUGCAGAUAUGUUUGAAUCUUGAUCUGCUAACGGAAAGGAGGGAGCAAGCAGCCGAGCGAUCAGUCAUUUACCAACAGAGGGUUGCUCGGUAUUAUAACCAGAAGGUGAACAUACGGCAAUUCAGGGUCGGAGACUGGGUACUGAGAAGAGUGAAUCAGAGCACCAAAGAUUCGACUCAAGGAGUGCUGGGACCGAAUUGGGAAGGGCCAUAUAGAGUCAAGCAGAUAGCGGGACCCGGAGCUUACAAGCUGGUUCGCACGGAUGGCCACGAGGUGAAACGCCCAUGGAACGCAGCACACCUCCGAAAAUACUUCUAGUAAGACUUGUUUACAUUUGAAAGCUAUUUUUGCUCAUGUUCAUUAUCGUUUAUCUUUCACGCUUUAUGUCCAAACAAUUUCAUGUAAGUCGAAUCCAGCCAUUAGUGGAACGUCGAGGAAUUUCUUUCGCUUGAAACCGAGAAAAUUCCCAAAGGCAUACAAAGGCUCAACAAAGUCUCAAAGCCUGUCUUAUGGCGAGACAGAAGCCAAGCAUGCCAGGAUCUGCUCGGCCACGAGAAGGCGAGCAGAAUCCCAAUCCUCGAAGAAUCCAAGGCAUGCAAAGGCUCGACAAAGUCUCAAAGCCUGUCUUAUGGCGAGACAGAAGCCAAGCAUGCCAGGAUCUGCUCGACCACGAGAAGGCGAACAGACUCCAAAGCAUUCGAAGAAAUUCCUAAGGCAUGCAAAGGCUCACCAAGUCUCAAAGCCUGUUUUAUGGCGAGACAGAAGCCAAGCGUGCCAAGAUCUGCUCGACCGCGCGAAGGCGAGCCGAAUCCCAGGCAUUGAAGAAUCUUCAAAGGCAUGUGGCAAAACCAUGAGCCAAGCCGGAACCUGCUCGUCUAGACAAAGACAAGCAGAUUCUCAAACGAAAAUUAAUUCAUAAUUACAACACAAGAAAGUAAUCAAAAAACAUUUUUAUUAAUUUGUUAAUAAUUAACAGAGGGGAUAAUCUUCAUGAACAUUGUUCAUUACAAUACAAGAAAUAUAUCAAGAAGAUGGUGGAUCAGUAAGCCCAGCAGCAUCGGUUGGCUGGACCUCCUCAGGUGCAGGAGGGGUAUCACCAGUUGCGUCCGGGGGGGGUGCUCGCCUCGCCAACAUCAGCAGGGACUGCACGAGGAGGAGAGUUUUCCUCCUCAAUCACGAUCGGCUCUACCCCUUCGGCAUCUUCCUUGGCCGCCUCCUCGUCCAUAUGUUGAGCAACACCAGCUGCAAGGUCAUCCAUCUUCAGAUCAGGGUGUUGCUUCCCGAGGACGGCCAUGAUGCAACGAUAGGAAUGCCGAAGUCCCUGGUCGUACUGGUUGUCGGCCUCCCUCUCCAAGUUCUCGACCUGAGCUCGGUGGGAGUCGCGGAGAGAUUCGAGCUGAGCCUCAUACAUAGCCUUCUGCUUUUGCAGAUCCUCCUUGACCUUGGUAAGCUCCUCCUCGAGGGUAAUGGCUUUUGCUUGAGCAAGUGAUUCUUGCUCUAUCAGCUUCAGAUUCUCGAGAUUCAGCUCCCCUGCUUUCUUCUCGGCAACGUCAGCUCUAGUCGUCGCCGAUUGAAUAUCCUCCUUCAUCUUCCGGUCGUAGCGGCCAACCUUAGCCUUGUAAUAGGUGGUCAUGCAGCUGAGGUGGAAAGCGCUAUGCUGCAUGGCCCCCACCAGCUCACCCAAGGUGCAGCCGUCAAAGUCCUCCAGGUCCUUCUUGCUCACGAGUUUAGAUAACUCAUUGAGGUAGGGGACCAGGUGUUCUGCUCGGCUGUCAGGUAAGCGAGAUCGAGGCCCGACAGGAGGAGGAGAGGAAGCAGGAUCUGUGGCUGCUCCACUAGCUUCCCCGACUUUUACAGGAGCAGGAGGUAAAAUCUUCAAGGGUGGGACCUGCUGCACGAUGUUGGCCCGCUUUGCAGCAGGGGCAUCCUUACUCUGGUCCCUCUUCGUGGUUGGAGGUCGAGAACGUUUUCGGGUCAGAGCCCCAAUCACAGCGUCCUCCAUCCUAUGGCCAGGAAGUAUCAAGCGAGACUCGAGCAAGUUGUAUGUAGUUAACAAUUCUCGGCUCGAGCAGGAAUUGGCUAGUACAGCCUCGACCCGUUUGAGCUGGUCAGGUUCAAGCGGGAAGUGGACACCCCAAGAACCUGCAACACAAACAAACAUUUGAUUAGAGACAAACCAGUAAAGCGCAAACGACAAGGGAGACAAGACAUCUAAUACGAGCAGGCAACCUGGGACCAAGAAACGGGGUGGGACGCGGAAGUCCUCCCCAUCAACCCGUGCAACUUGACCCCAGGGACCCCCUGCGAAUAAGAACUUCCUCUUCCAAUUCCCACCACCACCAGUAGGGAGAUCGGUUAUGGGUUUCCUGGUCUUGGUACUUGAUUGGAAGUAAUACCAGCCGGCAUCUUUUGGGCUGCUUUUCAGCUGGUACAGGUGCAUCACCUCGUCGACCGUGGGCUCGCUUUGGCAACAUCUGUCCCACAGUAUGAACAGACCAGAGAGCACUCUCCAACCGUUUGGGUUCAACUGACCAGGAGAUAGAUUCAACCCGCUAAGUAUCCGGGCAAAGUAAGGUUGCAAGGGACACCUCAGCCCAUACUUAAAGCUAUCCAGAUACAGGGUAACAUAUCCCCUAGGAGGCCGGCUAGGGGUAUCCUUCUUGCCUGGGACCUUGAGAAGUAUUUCACCAGGAAUGCUGUACCUAAGACGGAGGUCAGCGAGCUCGUCAAACGUGGUCGUGCACGUCAUAUAGUCGAUGGCAUAAUCACGCAACAAGGCUCUACCCCCUACUGUACCCCGUCCUUCUGGUCGUGACGUUCCAGAUGGAGACACCUCACCAGAGUCACCUUCGCCAUUCUCACUCAAAGUAUCCUCGGAGCCAGAAGAUCUCUCCUCACCAUUACUUCCGCUCGUAGAGGUUGUUUGGGGAGACAUCCUCCUAGCACUAGUCCCGACACUAGACCUAAUGGGCUCUAAGGGGAUCCCGGGGUCAAAAGCAGGAUCGGUGAGCAGACUAGGCAGGAAGUCCAACUCGUCGUCAUCAACCUCAAUGACCUUCUCUUUGCCUUUCGACAUUCCCUAAGCUCUAACCACAACACCACCAACUACUACCCAAACAGAAGAGAAGAGAAAUUAUCUACAACUAUCCGAGACCAAGGAGAUAGAAGAAAUACCUGAAGUAAUGGUUCAGUCGGUGAAAAUCAGAGAUGGAGGCCUUUUAUGCCGGAACUUCUUUGCCGGAGAGACAGAGACGGAGACGGAGUGAAUGAUGAAUAUGCUGUUCGAGAGGAUUUGGUUUUCCUAAUGAGGACGGACUCUUGGGUUGCCAGCAUUUAACAACGCCGAAUCCCGAGGGUCUCAUAACCGUCGGUUUGAAAUUCAAAUGGAGGGGGAGAUUUCUGCCACGUCACCUCGUCCGCAAUUAAAUGCGACAUGACUCUUGGCAGCCUUUUCCAAUCCCACGCGAGCGAGUACUAAGGAGUUUCUACUGCUGGUCCACUACAUUACCCAACACCAGAAACUGGGGGACCGGUGUUUGGGAGAAAUACGUCGACGAGACCAGGCAUGGUGAGCAGAUAUCUGAUGGCAGAGUUCUACGAACCGAUGUGUUCCGUAAAAGCCUGGUGCGCGGGGGAACAGGAGCAGAAAUAUCCUGCUCGUCCACGAGCACAUCAUCCGCGAGGCCAAUGUCCUGUAAGAGGCAUAAGGCCAUUCCGGCUAGAGGUCGAGAGGCGAGGAGACCCGGUCGACGGCAGUUGGCAAGACAUGCUCUCCAGCCCGAGAAUCUAGGCACGACAGCCACGCUUUCCCCAGAACCACGGCGGAACACGCAAGAUCCCACGUUUGCCCAUAACGCAGCAUAACUCAGCAGUCGGAGUCCCAUACCGUCCCCCAAAAAGCGGAAACAAGAUCUCACAGAACCACGACAGCCACGCUUUCCCCAGAACCGUGGCGUAACACGCAAGAUCCCACGUUUGCCCAUAACGCAGCAGUCAGAGUCCCAUACCGUCUCGAAAAAAGCAGAAAACUCGGAUUCAGAGGAAGCCUAUAAAAAGGUAGCCAACGAAGGUAAAGGGGUUGGUAUUUUUGAGAUGAGAAAAGAAAUUCAAAAGAAGAGAAAACCACGAAAAAGCCAUAAGAUCUGUGGCAAGCGUUCCCCGAACCUUCAUAUCUGACUUGAGCGUCGGAGGGUUUGCGCCGGGAAAAUAACCGGCGUACUCUGACUUGUCUGUGUGCGCAGGAACCUCUGGAGAAGAAGCCUUGCGAGGAGACCUCCUGGUCGUGAUGAAGCUGAUCGAGCAGAGAUCCUGGUCGUAGAACGAGGAGAACCGGAAUCCUGCAUCAACAAUAUAUACAUACACUUUCGUCUUCAAUGCACUGAAACUGGGGAACCAUCUAUAUGAUUUUCAUUCAGAAAAACCGGCGGGAACUAAUGACUUUCAUGAUUAAAAGUAGGAUUAUCAUAUUGUGGAGCAUUGUUAUGUAACGUUUUAUGGUUAUCUUAAGGCAAAAGUUGGCUUAGAAAUUAACUGAAAGGCAAUAUUCAUUCUAUCAAAAAACAAGUGUUUUUUAACAAGGGGAGAAGGUUCCCUUUAUAAUUUACUAAUUUAUGCAACCGUUAAUAUUAAAACAAAUUUUUUUUUAUAUUAAGGAUGAUGAUUCUUUUUCCCUUAGUAAAGUCUGUAUAUAACAUAUGAUGUGGUAAGCAAGGAAUCAAUUUAUCCCCUAUUUUGUUUUUCUUACUUUUUUUUCCCAAAAUAUUGCAGCUUUCUUUGGAGAGGUUCAGCCAAACUGCUGAGACCGUCAGUACAGAUGUUCAACGGUUUUUUAAUACUGCAUUUUAAGAUUACAUGUAUUAUAUAUUCAUUACUUGUGAUUAUGUAAUUUGCUGAUGAUAAGUACACUGAGUGAUGUAUAUAUGUGUGGCUGUGUGAUCAUUACUGAUAAAUUCAUUUGAUCAGCAAUUAUUCUUUACGAGUUUGGUAAUCGAGCAAACUGAUUAUCAGUUGGCAAACUAAUUAGAUAUUGCAUUUUGGCCUUGAAGUGAAAUUAGUGAACAUGUUUCUUGAGGGCUUCUUUUAUAAGACACUUGAAGAAGAAAAUUCAUGUUUUUGCAAAACUUCUUUCUCAAUAUAAAAUGAUAAUUCGAAAGAAUAUUUAUUAAAGAAGCUUGGAACUUGGAGGGCAAUUUGAAUUCUGAAACGGCACCGUUUCACCUCGACCCACUAGAUACAAACUGAUUAUGAGUGACACCAACGAUUGACCGCUGAGACAGAGAACCUCUCUCGGUGACGCCGACGGCCAGCUUUCACGCUCAUCUGCCGUCAUAUUCGGCAGCCGCCUGCCGUCACUCCGUCUUUGUUGUUGCGCCGGUGAAGGUGAGUACCGAGUUGUCAGUUGAGUUCAAUAGUUGUAUUUUGUAAUAGCAAUUACAAUUAUCGGGUUUAAUUUGGGACAAUUUUGAUCAUCAAUCUUUGCCAUGUUUCGUAUGACUCUGUUCUGUCUCACAUAGCAGGUUCUUGGUAGCUCGUACUCAUCAAUGUAUCCUGAUCGUGGUAUGGGAGGCAGCAGUUACAUGGGUAGUGGUGGUUCCGGAUCAUACUAGUGAUGUGGUAAAAAUUGAAUUGUAAGUGAAAUUUUCUUUUAUGUAAAAUUACAAUGAUCUAAUUUUCUUGGUGCAUUAUAAACUGAGACAUAAUGGUUCACCGAAGACUUUGGCAUCUCUCAAGUUAGCUAAGACGCAUGGUUCACGACAAAGGAAUCUACGGUAACAAGUGAAUUUUCUAUGGAACAGACUUGAGAUGAUGACAAAGAGGCUGCUGUAGGGUGUGGACUAUAUGAAGCUUCUCGCAUUAGGAUGCUUGCUACUUUGGAGAGGAUCAAGUUGCUGAGCCUAACAGCCUCCAUAUGUCAUGGGAAGGGCUGCACUGGUUUAGGCCAUUCUUGGUUCUACAGACUGAUUACUUUGUCAAGUCUUAAUGCUGCAAGGAAACUCCCCUCAGUGUGUGAUAUGUACGAAUUGCUUCUUUACUUUUCUGUAUAAGAACUCCACUUGAUGGACAGUGUGGAGGCAUCUGCAUAAAUCUGUUUAUUGGAAUCAACCCUGUCUGAUCCGAAUUUUAAAACCGAAUCGAAUUUUAAUAUCGAACCCAACCGGAUAUCUUGGUUCGAUUCGGUUUGAUUUUAAGCUCGGUUCUAUUUUUUAGGAACCGCCAGCUUGGGUACGGAACCGAACCAAACCAAACCAAACCGUACACUGUGUGCCUCAGUAAAGAGUUUGAUUUCUCUAUUUUAACCUUAAUUAAAUAUUGAUUUCCAAUUUUACCCUUUAACAAAACUAAAUUAAAUAACAAUAAUUUUCACUUGCUUUUUCGAUUUCAUUUUACGGCUCAACAAAAUCUCUCAAAACCGUUGUUCUGAACUUCCGGCGGCUUUCAGUACCGGCGAAGGCUGAAGAUUCAAGCAAUAGAGCUGCUCAUGAUGAGGGGAAGGAGAAGAAGACUUAGCCGAGUUUUGAAGAUUACUUUUUUUUUUUCUUUUGGGUUUUCAUUGGUUUAUCAUUUGAGUCUACAAACAAAUGGUAUUCUUUUUCCCUAAAUUGUGAACACUUGGGGUUUUUAUUGUUGAAAUGCUUUAUUAUUUUUCGAUGACCAAGUAAUGUGAAUCAAUGUUCUCUUUAAAUAAUUUUCCCCUGUCCUUGCAUGUUCUACCGGUCUUUAUUUUUUAUUUGAAUUUGAAGAAACUUUCUAAGUGCAUACACCCAUAUGAAGUCGAAGAUCUUCCAGACAAGGUGGCAUCCAUCAAGAUCAAGAAAUUUUACUGCUUAGCAUGUGUUAUAUUUAUGGAUUGGCUAUUGAAGAAAUAAUGUUUGUACUGAUGCAGAUGCAGGAACUUUACACAUCUUAAGUUUACGAGAUAUUUUUUUCUUUUUUGACUCUGUUAGAUAACUGUCAGUUAGUUAACCAAUUUAUGUUACUCUUCCUUGGCUAGCCAAUUAAGAACUUAUGUCUGCUGGAUUAUAAAGCCUACAUCUGGAAGCCACAGGUGAUUUGAUUUGAAGGCAAUUUGUUCUAGGCUAUAUGUGGAUUUCUAUCAUGAUUUCUGUAAGCUUGAAGGAGAUUUUUUUAUGCGUGAGAGCUUGAAAAUUAUACAUGUACAUGUUGAAACUAUUGGAUAUAUGUUAAGAAUCAAGCAUAAUUGUGUCAAGAUGAAACCAUAAUUUGGGUGCUGUUUUAUGAGUAAACUAUCUCCAAUUUGGGUGCAGUAAACCUAGGUUGAAUACCAGGACAUGGUAUAAAAGUGAAAUCACACAUUGAAUCUCGCAUAAAGAUUUUAAAGAUGCAAAUUCGAAUUGUACAUGAGAUGUUAUCUUGAUCGAAUUGCAGCGGCUUUGUUUUGGAUCCAGAAAACAAAAUUGUAAGCACAGAGAAGUCUCGAUGGGAUGCUUAUAUUAAGGUGCAUAAUGGCCUCAUUGAGUUUUGUGCUGUUGUUCUACGUUGUUUGAGUUUUGUGCUGCUGUUCUUUGUUGCUGCUUUUGCUACCGGUUUUAGCUAUUUUCUGCCACUCUGUUAUUUGCUAUUUUUUACUACUUUGGCUGCUGAUUUUUGCUGUUUUCGCUGCUUUAGCUGUUGUUUUAUCUGCUGUUUUUUUUUUACUGCUUUUAUUGUUGAUUUUUGCUGUUCUCUAUCGUGUUUUACCCACUGGUUGUCGCAUGUUUAUUAAUACUGUUUGCUGCUGUUUUAUUUGCUGUUUUUUGCUGCUAAUUUUUUUUUUUCUGUUUUCUGCGGUUAUUUGCUGCCGUUGCUGUUUUACUCGCCAGUUGAUGAUGUUUUGUGGUUCUCCUCCUCGAGUGCCUACUUUUUCCUGUGUGCAAGCAUAUCUGUUGAGAGUGGCUGAUGAAAUCACUAAACUGUUACAGUUGAUCUCAUGCUUCUCUAGAGAAGGAAUUAGACUUAUUUUGGUGAAGGGGUUUUGGUUUUUAUAUCAGUGUGUGCAUUUCUUCAAUCACGUAGCUUUGUGGCAUUACGAUCGAUAAUGGCAACUCCACAAUGAUGAUAAUGAUAAUUUUGUGAUUCAGACGCGUUGUUAGGAAUUAUGUAUUGGUUUUUCUCUCGCCUUCGGUUUCUACGAUGAAGCAUAUAAUGGCUUUUAAUCUGCAACUGCUGCAAAAUGGACUCACUAGCUACCAAAUAAUAAUAUAUAGUGCUGUCAAAUUUAUAAACGUUUUACGGUUAUUUUAAGCCUGCAGUUGGUUUACGAAUUAAUUAAAUGACAAUAUUCAGUCUAUCAUAAAACAGGUUUUCAACAAGUGAAGAGGAGGUACUCUUUAUAAUUGGAUAAUUAAUGCAACCUUCAAUAUUUUCAACCAAAAAAAAAAUGAUAUUUGAUAUGUAUUCAACAUUAGGGAAAAACCACCCAUAUCGAAGGUUUGCUUAAAUGAUCAAAUAAAUCCACUUAGUUUCGUAAAUGGUUAUACAUAUCCUCUUUUCGACUAUUUAUUGGGUUAUGUUUGAGAGUUAGGACUAAGUGUGGGAUUGUACUAACUUUGAGAUUAAAUAUUAUUCUUUAUUUAGCAAUUUUCCUUGGAUUAGAUUAUGAGAGACUAAAUUCUAAGUUAGUUGUUAAAUAAAGGGGUUUGGAAAUACCAAUUUAUAAAUAGAUUUAAAUGGGAUUAGAAUAAGAGGAAAAAAUGUUCAUUUGUAAUAUUUCUUUCAUAUAUAACACAUCUUUUAUUUAUUACUUAAAAUUUAAUUAAUGAAUUAAUUAUUUUAUUCAUGAUUUACUUGAAAUAUAUUUUUUAUUUUGUUUUUAUAUUCUAAUUAAAUUGGUACUUUAAUUUAAUAAUUUGUUACAUUAAUUGAUUGUACUAAAUUUAAUAAUCACCAAUGUAAUAUUAAAAUAUAAUUAUGAAAAUUAAUAAUUGAUGCGUAAAUUAGCAAGUGUACUAGUCGGCACAAGUAAUAUAAUGAAGAGUAGAGUAUCGUCCCACAGAGAUUGUAUAUCCUAUUAGUUACCGAAAUUAUUCUAACCCUAAUUUAUUUAAACAAUCAAAUAAGCGAAUUUAGAUAAAAAUAAAAUAAAAUAAAAUUAUUAAAAAUUAAAUAAAGACGCAGGCAGUAAUAGAAAUCACCAAGAGAUUAAGACACUAGGACAUCCGAUUUCACCAUAACCAAUCCAAUUUAAUCCGCCAUCUAUGCUAUUAAAUUUUAUUACCCAUGUUGACAGUGAAUUUCCCUAAUUUAUUCAAUAUCCUCUCUCGAGUAAUAUCAAAAAUAUCUCCACAUAUCAACCCACUAUAUCUCUAUGUGAAUUUAAAUAUGCAAAGAUUCAUUAAGUUCUAUGGAAAUUCUUAGAUAAAACUGCACGAAUCACGUUGGCACAUCUCUGUCUUUCGUUCAAUUCAUGGCAUCCAUUACACAGAGCAAAAAUACAUAAAUCUCCUCUCGGUCUCAUUAUGUAUCCUCAAAUCAUUCAAAUAUUGGCCAAAUAAUUAAAAGCAUUAAGCACAAUAAUGAACACUCAAUCAUGGAAUAAUUAAUUAAAAAUAACAUAGAUUUAUGGAAUUAAAUCUUCAUAGUUAGGCUACAUCGUAGCCCUAGUAAAAUAAAUUAGUUCAUGGGAAUAUAAAGAGAAUUCAUUAAUUUAAUUAGAAACAUUCAAGCAAGAUAAUAGAGAAGAGGAAAAGAAAAGCUUAAGAAUUAAUGCGUCUUCUUCCUGCUCCAAAUUAUUCUUGCUGCUCCCGAUUUUACUCAAAACUUGCGGCUGCUGCUCUUCUCUUUAUUUUCUCUUGGCUGCCUCUUAUUUUCCUUGUGCGGCUGCCUUUCUUCCCUUUUAUAAUGGUGUGGUUUCUUCCAAAUCCUUAAAGGAAAAGGAUUGCAAAUCCAGCCCACAAAUCCUUAAAUGAAAAUAAUUAAAAACAAAAGCCCAACCGCCUAUUUCAUUCCUAAGCCAAUCAGAAUUAAAAGCAAAAGCCCCUCCACGUGUUGCAUGCCAUAUUUGUCUUUGUAAAUGAAUUCUUCAAUGCUUCCUCACGUGCAUGCAUGCUUAAUGAUUAAUUAAAUUAAAUCCUUUGUGAUUUGUUCCAAUUAAUUCUCUUUAUUUCUUUAUUGUACCUAAAAUGAGAAAAUAUAAAAAAUUAAGAUAAAAUUAACAUAAUAAAAUAUAAUUUAACAUAAAAUUAAGUUAUGGAAGCAUUAAAAUAAUAGAUAAAUAUUAGCACAUCAAAUACCCCCAAACUUAACAUUUUGCUAGUCCUCGAGCAAAAACUAAAAAUAUAAAAAAUAAAAAAUAAAUAAAAAAAAUAAAAACUACGAAAAGAAAAUUCUAACUAAACCACUUUCGCAGGUGAUCGCGAUUGCAUUUAGCGUAUGCAACAAGCCUUUAAACCCCUAGGCGGCCCUAGUGGACGAGUUAUAGUCUCGUGAGGGUUUCCAGCGAUGAUACCCACAAACAUCAUCAAAAAUGCCUCAAAGAUUGCAUAAAGUAUAUAGCUCAAAGAAAAUAAAAAAUAUUGGCAAAGUUCUAACUUUAAUUGAAUAGUCAGCCUCAUCUCAUAUUGGAUUCCUGUGUUGUGUGUGAAUCAAUUCAAUCAAAACUCAUUCUCAAGAUCUUCAACAUCAACAGCCCUUGUCUCGAAUAAUAAACAGAGUAGGUCAAACUAACCUCAUCAUCUUGAUCUUCUUUUUUUUUUUCUUUUCUUCACAGGCAUAAAUUUGCAUUUUCUUUUGAUUUUUCUUGAAGCACGUGCUUUUUUUUUUUUUCAUUUCUUUGUCCAUAGUCAGGAGCUUUCACUCUACCCCUUAAGGUAGCCUUCUUCUCAUGGUAGAUUAUCCUCUACAUACUGGUGGUACAUAGGCCCAAAUUACUCAAGGAUAGCUUCACUCUUAAGGGUUAUAGGUAGCUAUUUCUGACUAUAGUGCCUGGGUAAACUUAAGUAUUGUAUAAUCGAGGCAAACAGUCAUUUACUCAAUCUAAAAUUCUCAACUUAGGCCGUAUCAAUCUCAAAUCUCAAGUCAAAAUUAUGAAAGAAUCGAUAUAAGUGCGCAAGAUAUUUAAAGAAUCUCAAUCAAGACGAAGCUAACACAAGAAUCAAGAAUAAAUUAAGACAAUAUUCAUCCCUUUCUAAGAACCAUAUUCAUUUUCAACCAUAAACUCAUCAUAGGCAUUAAAAUCUUUUUUUUUUUUUUUGAUGAAAAGCAAAUAAUGAAAAGCAAAUAUUCCCACCCCCAAACUUAAAAUAAACAUUGUCCUCAAUGUAAAGAAAAAGAAAAAGGAAAAGAGAAACUCCCCCGGUUUUGCACUUGAAGAUGUAAAGUUGUAGCUGAGUCGUUGAAAGGCAUGCGGAAAGUUGAUGUUCAUCGACCCCCAAACUUGUGCAAAAUCCUAAAACAAAACAAAAUAAGUAAAAGAAAAGAAAAAUAAGGAAAGAUAAAAAUGACAAUAAUAAAGUUUAGAAAGCAUGGGUUGCCUCCCAAGAAGCGCUUAAUUUAUAGUCAUUAGCCUGACUAUCUUUGAAGAGAUGGUUCAAGGAGGCUCGUGGAUGGAAGGAGAUGAUCUGGAUGGACCUUGCCCAAGUUUCUUGCAAUUAGGUCUCUUCCCACGAAAAUGAGGUGAUGCAUCUUCAUUAAUAGACUACUUUUGUAUUAUAUAAAUGUCAGGAGGGUCAGAUAGAUGCUCAUCCUUAAAUGGUUUGGCCAUUUUUAUAUCCAUGGUGUCUUCUUGGAAACAUUCUUUGAGUUCAAUUGGAUACUUGAUAGGUGUGUACACAUUGAAAAUGGCUUGCUCAUUUUGAACUCUUAAAAUCAAUUUUCCUUCAUGAACAUCAAUCAAAGCUCUUCCUGUAGCUAAAAAUAGUCGGCCUAAAAUGAGAGGUAACUCUAUAUCUUCAGCCAUAUCCAAGACAAUAAAAUCUGCAGGAAAUAUAAACUUAUCAACUUUUACAAGCACAUCCUCAACUAUGCCUCGUGGGUAUUUUAUAGAUCUACCUGCUAAUUGUAGGGUAACAGUUGUUGCUUUAGGUUCACCCAAACCUAAUUUCUUGAAAACAGAAAAAGGCAUCAAAUUAAUGCUUGCACCUAAAUCACACAAAACUUUAUCAAAAUAACAAUUUCCAAUAGUGCAUGGAAUAUUAAAACUCCCUGGAUCUUUCAGCUUUGGUGGCAAUUUAUUUUGUAAGAUGGCGGUGCAGUCCUCAGUCAGCAUUACAGUUUCAUGCUCCUCAAGUUUCCUCUUGUUGGACAACAUUUCUUUCAUAAAUUUGGCAUAAAGCGGCAUUUGUUCCAAAGCAUCUGCAAAAGGAAUAUUAAUAUGCAAUUUCUUAAACACAUCAAGAAAUUUUAAAAAUUGCUUAUCUAUGUUAUUUUUCCGGAGACGCUGAGGAAAAGGGAUUGGAGGAACAUAGGCCUUGACUAGUGUUGCUAGUUUAGGUUGUGGUAUUUCUGAACUUGCUGCCUUUGAAACCUUAGUGGUGUCUUCAGUUUGUUCUUCAUCAACUUUCUUUGCUUCUUUUCGCGGCUCAUCAAGUUGUUUACCACUCCGAAGUAUAAUUGCAUUAACUUGCUCCUUUGGAUUUGUCUCGGUGUUGCUUGGCAGAGAGCCAUGUUGUCUACUGGAUAACAAGUUUGCAAUCUGAUCUACUUGUACCUCGAGGUUCCGAAUUGAUGCAGCUUGAUUUUGAAAAGUUGUCUCUGUUUUGGUCAUGAAUUGAGACAUGUUUGUUGUAAGCUGGGUAAGAGCAUCUUCUACGUUUGACUUCUUUUCUUGUGGUUGGAACCCUGGAGGUGGUGCCAAUGUAUUCUGAGUGUUGUUCCAUGACAAAUUCGGGUGGUUUCUCCAGCCAGGAUUGUAGGUAUUAGAAUAUGGGUUAUGUUGUUGUCUCUGGAAGUUUGACACAUAAUGAGCUUGUUCAGCAGACGACGACGCAAAAGGACUUCCAACUUGGCAGUUGACACUGGUAUGAUUCCCUCCGCAUAAUUCACAAACUUGAGUUUGAAUCGCACUGACAUUUAGGUGCUCCAGCUUAUUAGAUAAAGCAGUCAUCUGUGCAGAUAAAACAGUGACAACAUCAACAUUAUGGGCUCCUACAAUUUUCCUUGGCAUUGAUCGCUCUGAAGUCCACUGGUAAUUGUUGGAUGCCAUCUCCUCCAAUAAUUCAUAAGCUGCUUCUGGUGUUUUUCCCAUUAACGUUCCUCCUGCUGCAGCAUCAAUCAUUGUUCUGGUAUUGGAUCCUAAACCAUUGUAAAAUGUCUGCACCUGAAGCCAAACUGGUAGACCAUGAUGUGGGCAUUUUCUUAGUAGGUCUUUGUAUCUCUCCCACGCUUCAUAUAAUGAUUCCAUCUCAAACUGAGCAAAGGUUGUGAUGUCAUUCCUCAACUUGGCUGUUUUUGCUGGAGGAAAGUACUUUGCUAAAAACUUCUGCGCUAAACCAUCCCAAGUAGUGAUUGUUCCAGCAGGGAGUGAGUUCAACCACUCUUUUGCUUUAUCCCUCAGUGAGAACGGAAAAAGCCUUAGCCUGAUUGCAUUGUCUGAAACACCAUUUUGCUUAAAUGUUUCACAAAUUUCCAAGAAAUUUGUAAUAUGGGCAUUUGGAUCAUCAUUUGGCAUCCCAGCAAAUUGAACUGAAGUCUGAAUCAUCUGGAUUAUGGCUGGCUUAAUUUCAAAAUUAUUGGCUUGAACGGCAGGGCGUGCAAUGCUUGAAUGAGCUCCAUUAACUGUAGGCACAGCAUAAUCUCUUAAGGGUUUUGCAUCCUCAUUUCCAUGUAAUGCUUCGUCAGCCAUGAUUAGUUGUUGCUCCUGUGAAGCUUCUCUCCUUUCUUUAUUAAGUCUUCUACACGUACGUUCAAUCUCUGGAUCAAAAGGCAAUAAAUCAAAACUUCUUGAGCGUCUCAUAAAAUUAAACAAGAAAAUAAAAAAUUCAAAUAAAAACUAUAAAAAUAAAAUUCAAAUUAAACUAAGGUUAGUUGGUAUCGAUACUAAUCCAAACAAUCCUCGGCAACGGCGCCAAAAACUUGAUGCGUAAAUUAGCAAGUGUACUAGUCGGCACAAGUAAUAUAAUGAAGAGUAGAGUAUCGUCCCACAGAGAUUGUAUAUCCUAUUAGUUACCGAAAUUAUUCUAACCCUAAUUUAUUUAAACAAUCAAAUAAGCGAAUUUAGAUAAAAAUAAAAUAAAAUAAAAUUAUUAAAAAUUAAAUAAAGACGCAGGCAGUAAUAGAAAUCACCAAGAGAUUAAGACACUAGGACAUCCGAUUUCACCAUAACCAAUCCAAUUUAAUCCUCCAUCUAUACUAUUAAAUUUUAUUACCCAUGUUGACAGUGAAUUUCCCUAAUUUAUUCAAUAUCCUCUCUCGAGUAAUAUCAAAAAUAUCUCCACAUAUCAACCCACUAUAUCUCUAUGUGAAUUUAAAUAUGCAAAGAUUCAUUAAGUUCUAUGGAAAUUCUCAGAUAAAACUGCACGAAUCACGUUGGCACAUCUCUGUCUUUCGUUCAAUUCAUGGCAUCCAUUACACAGAGCAAAAAUACAUAAAUCUCCUCUCGGUCUCAUUAUGUAUCCUCAAAUCAUUCAAAUAUUGGCCAAAUAAUUAAAAACAUUAAGCACAAUAAUGAACACUCAAUCAUGGAAUAAUUAAUUAAAAAUAACAUAGAUUUAUGGAAUUAAAUCUUCAUAGUUAGGCUACAUCGUAGCCCUAGUAAAAUAAAUUAGUUCAUGGGAAUAUAAAGAGAAUUCAUUAAUUUAAUUAGAAACAUUCAAGCAAGAUAAUAGAGAAGAGGAAAAGAAAAACUUAAGAAUUAAUGCGUCUUCUUCCUGCUCCAAAUUAUUCUUGCUGCUCCCGAUUUUACUCAAAACUUGCGGCUGCUGCUCUUCUCUUUAUUUUCUCUUGGCUGCCUCUUAUUUUCCUUGUGCGGCUGCCUUUCUUCCCUUUUAUAAUGGUGUGGUUUCUUCCAAAUCCUUAAAGGAAAAGGAUUGCAAAUCCAGCCCACAAAUCCUUAAAUGAAAAUAAUUAAAAAAAAAAGCCCAACCGCCUAUUUCAUUCCUAAGCCAAUCAGAAUUAAAAGCAAAAGCCCCUCCACGUGUUGCAUGCCAUAUUUGUCUUUGUAAAUGAAUUCUUCAAUGCUUCCUCAUGUGCAUGCAUGCUUAAUGAUUAAUUAAAUUAAAUCCUUUGUGAUUUGUUCCAAUUAAUUCUCUUUAUUUCUUUAUUGUACCUAAAAUGAGAAAAUAUAAAAAAUUAAGAUAAAAUUAACAUAAUAAAAUAUAAUUUAACAUAAAAUUAAGUUAUGGAAGCAUUAAAAUAAUAGAUAAAUAUUAGCACAUCAAUAAUACUAGUAAUUAAUUGAUUUUAUAUAUUAUUUGCUAAUUUUUUGAUAAAAUAAAAUAUAUAUCUAAAAUAUCUAAAUAAUCAAAAAGUUUUAUUAAUUUAUAUUUUUUAUUACAAUUAUGACUACCCAUAAGUAAUUUACUAUAUAUUUAAUGUUCUUAUUAAUUAUAUUUAAAUUAAUCUUAAUUAUUAUUCUUAAAUAUUCAUAAAUAGUUUUUUAUUUAAAUAUAAUUUAACAUUGUCUAAUCCAAUGUUGUACCAAACAUAAGACAGUAGUGUAUAAUCCAACAUAAUACUUAGUCCAAUUUAGUCUUGCAUGCCAAAUGUAAUCUUAUACACUUUGAUUACAACAAGCCAAUAAUUGACUUAAAGAAACUUCUAUAACAAUUAUAAGUUAAAAUUAAAAUAAUAUGAUAUAUAAAAUAAGAUAAAAUUUAUAAAUUAUUUUGAAUAUUAGAAAAAUGAUUUUAACAUUAUUAAUUUGUCAUAUUCUUUUACUACUAAUAAAAUCUGUUUGACAAAUUAAUAAUAUUAAAAUAAUUAUACCUAACAUUCACAAUAAUUUAUAAAAUUUAUAUAUUUUGUUUACAAUUUUUUUAAUUAUGUCUAUAUUAAUAUAAAUCUUAAAGUCAAUUUUUGGAUUAAUAGAUUUUAGUAUAUAUAAUAAUAACUUAAUAUUAAAAAUAAUUUUCAUUACAUACGUUAUUCUAUUAAUUAUCUUAUUGUAAUAUUUUAUUUGUAUCAUAUGAUAUCUAUUAAUUAUUUUUUUAUCUUAUUACUAUAUUUAUAUUUAUUUGUGUUGUUGUAAUCAAAGGGUAUAGUAACUAAAAAUGUGUUUAUGUGACUAUUUAACCUGAAGGGUCUUUGUGACCAUUUAAGUAAACCUUGGAAAUGUGUGACAAUAGUCAUUCUAAUGACUUUCAAGAUUGAAAGUGAGUCGGAUUAUCAAAUUAUGAAGCAUUGAUACGUAAUGUUUUAUGGUUAUUUUAAGGUUGAAGUUGGUGUAUUCAUUAAACAAGCUUUUAACAGGAGGAGAAGGUUUCCUUUAUAAUUUAAUAAUUAAUACAACCUUCAAUAACAAAAAAGUCAUAAAAUAAGGACGAUGAUUCUUGCUCACUUGGAUAAGAUAUAUAUAUAUAUAUAUAUAUAUAUAUAUAUAACCUAUGAUGUGGUAAGCAAGGAAUCAAUUAUGUAUUUCUUGUAUCUGAAAAAAUGAAUAAUCCUUUAACGAAGGUUAUCAUCAAUUGCAGGUUUCUAGUUUGGCUGCUUAGUUUGAGGACUACGAAUAUUACAAUAUCAUAAUUAAAGGAAAGAAUAUAGGCGGUAGUCUUUGCCUGAUCUACUUUCUUCUUUUUAAUUAACCACUUGAAAGGAAAGAAUAUUGUAUACGCAGCACACUAUAAUACUCUAAUUACCAAUUCUUUAUCUUAUAAUAUAAGUUCAUAGUGAUUAAUUUGUCCUUCUUCAGCAAAAAACAAAUCCCAUUUCAGCACAUCUGCAAGAGCCCUCAUUUCUCUUUGCUCCAGCCAAUUAAUAGCAGAAUCAUCACAGACACCUUGAGCUCCGUCGAAUCAUCAUAGACAAUUGGUGACUAGUGGGAGCAUUACAAGGAAGGUACGACGAGUACAAACUGAUAGAUUUGUUUAUAUGAUUCGGCUGUAGUUUUUAUAUAUGGUUAAAUUAUGACAAUAAUCAAGAGAUAAUCAUGUACCUCAUUAGUUUCAUAAAUGUACAUACUAAUUUAUUCCCCUGCUUGCCAGAAUCACACAUGUAGAAUAAGAUAAAUUUUAAGAUUUAAACUUUUCAAUUCAUUAAAAAUCUAGUGGGAUAUUAAUCGGUAAAACCACUUAGGGUAGUACAAGAGGUUUGUGAUGCUAGCCAAUUUAUGUGAGUGGAGAAAGAAUUAGGUUUUUUUAAUAAAAAAUAAUAAUCAUAUUAAUAAAAAGACAUAAAUUUCAAGGUUUAAAACCUUACAAUUCAUUAGAAGCAAGAGGGGGAUCCUAAAAACUUUGAAUGUAACGUAUCGGCAGUGGAAUGAAUUUUUUAUUUUUUAUUUUUUGGUUGAGACUAUUUACACACUCCUGGGCUUUGAACACAUAUUAGGGUGAGGGUAUUUUAGUAUUUCACUCACUUCUCAAUAAAAUGUUUUGAGGUGAUGCUACCACUAAACUACACAUUGAACCCAUUUACUUAACAAACACACUUCUAAAAUUUAAAAUAUACAAUUUUAUUUUACAACUCCAUUAAUACCUAAAAUACCCUUAUUAAGUUAAAUUAUCACGAUUUCUCUUAUCAUUUUCUUUUCCCAUCAUUUCUCCGUUUCUUCGCUCUUUUCUUCUUCAUUCCUGGACCUUUACCCAUAACUUUUUUAUUCCAAAUUCUUAAACUUUUUAUUUUAUUUUUUAAUAGCUAUUUUUCCCCUUGAUAUUUCAUGCGCUUGGAACAACACCCCUAAAAAAUUAAAUAAACAAACAAUAAAUUUAAAUAAACAACUGAUAUUAAAAUUGCUUAUAAAUUUAUAAUAAAUAAAAAAUUUCAAGUAAUUGCAACAGUUCUGCUUUUUUUUUUUUUCAUUUUAUUACAUGGAAGAAAGCUUACUAACUGAGAAGAGAUCAAGAUAAUUCAUUGUCCAAUUCAAAGAAUUCAGAAAUGAUGAAAUUAGAUGGUGGAAGUCAAGAGGAAUUUUACCAACAAUAAGCUUUUAUCCAAAUGCAUUAAAAAUUCAUUGAAACUUCUUUCCGCUAACAAAAGCGUAAUGACAUAGAAAAAGUGAAUACAGUACAUUGAAUAAUGAAAAAUAUGGGAGAAUGGUAGUAAUUUUUUAUUUAAUUUAAUUAUAUAGUCUUGUCUAUUAUAGUAACUUUCUAUGUGGACAUUUUAGUAACAAAAAUUUUUAUUAAAUAUUGAAUUUAAUGAGUAUUUUGUUGGGUUUGAACAGUCCCACCCAAAAUUUAAUUACAAAAUUUUCUUUAAUUAAAUUAAUAUCUUAGACAAAUAUUACAUCCAUUUCUCUCCCUAAAGUUUUUUUUUUCACAAUUUUUUUCUCUUUUCCUCUCUCUCUCUCCCCGCAGUUGUCCUCUAGUCCUUUGUGGUUCUUAUAUUUUGAAGUUUCUAGUGGAGUAAAACCUCUUUUAAAAUUUCUUAUAAAAAAAAAUUAAAAAAUGAAAGUCUCUUUUAAAAUUUGCCUUCCCCUUACCCUCGCGCUACUAUUAUACGUAAAUGCUCUCGAUGAAACUUUAGCAAUUGGGUUUCUAUUAAGUAUUUUAAUCUCGAAAAAAGAGAAGAUCACAAAACAAAUAUCAAUAGAUCACCAAUUUAGUUAUGCAGGUGGUAAUUAAUUAAAAUAAAAGACGUAGUGCUUCGUUUUGAAGUUGUUAUGAUAAAGAAAGGAGAAAAUAGAGCAAGCCGCUGCAACUGCAACAGUGGAGGAUUUGUAACAAAACUAUUACAGAGAUAAGAUUUAAUUGAUAAAAGAAAGAUUUAAUAGAAAGUAGUUAGAGAAACAACUAAUAAAAAUUAAUGAUAUUUAUUAUGGGUAUAUUAGGAAUAUUUGUGGCCUCACCUCUCAUCUUAUAAUAAAUUUUUAUGUUACUACAAUAACUCCAAUAUAGUUUAAUAUUAAGGACAACGUAAUGAAAUAAUUGUUAUUCUCAUAUCCAUUAAAGAUAUAUCGUUAUCUUAUAGAUGCGAGAAUGCUCCAAUGCUCAAGUAAAAUUUUUAGUGAAACACAUAAGAAUUCUACGUGUAGAGAGAACUUCGUCAGGGUAUUUAAGUUGUAUGUAAUGCUCUUUGCUAGUGUACCACGUUUAAUAUUUGAAUCAUGACACGUGGCGUUGCAAGUAGUGGCUUUAUUUCAGGUCUUCGUAGGUGCUCCGGACAUAUGUUCGCUCCGGAUCUAGUAUUAGGUCAUCAUGUGCUUUUUUUAGUGAUCCACGUGAUUCCUUUUAUCCUUACACCAGAGCAUUUCUUGUUGAAUAACAAUGUCGAAUGCUUGUUUAUCAAGGACACGUGUCUUGUCAUCAGAACAUAGUAAAAACAUAACAUGCUAACCCACGUGCAUUUAUGAAAAAUCAAAUGAGAAUAAUAAAUUAAAAAAGAAAAGGAUAAAAGUACAACAACUAAUUAGUAAUAUUUGAGUUUCUGCUGAUGAAUAUUUAAUUUUAUGGGUGUAAAGAUAGGAAAGAAAAGUAGGUUUAAUGAGGACUAUUUUAGUAUUAAAAAAGUAUUCAAAAUAAAUUUUAUUUUAAAAAUUUUAUUCAAUAAGGUAUAGAGAUCAUUCCAAAUUUAUUUUAGGUGCAAACUCGUCCGUUUGACGUAAUAUUGUGUCUUAUAAUAAGACUAGCAAUAGUCAAAUUAGCUUAUUAAGAUAAGAUCUGUUAAAUUUAAUAUUUUUAAAAAAUUAUCAUCCCAUCAUAAAACACACUGCUCUACUAUUCGGUAGAGCAUGAGUGGUUGGCGCAGACCAUGGAUUGCACAAUUAUUUCUAACAUUUGAAUCCCCAAACCCUCCUAACAAUGCCACCAGUAGGGAUGGCCCAUAUUUUUCUAAGCUCGGCCCUAAGCCCAUGUUAUCCACGCAUUUUUAAUUAUUAUUUUAGAUAUUACUGAAUUUGCAAUGAGUUAAUAAUCAAUAAGUUGUUAUAAUCAACAAUAAAUUAAAAAAUGACUAUUUUAAAAUAAAAUAAUAAAUAAAAAAUGAAGCAAAUAAAAGUUUACAUAUUUAAUUUCUUAGUACUAAAUUCUCUAAUUUAAACAUUCUCUUAGUUAAUUAAGAUAUAAGAGAGAGUUUAGUGUCACAAUUUUAGAUUUUUUUAAUCACUAUUGAUUGAAUUAGGGAUUUAAGCUUUCUUUUUUUAAUUAUUUUUUUAUAUUUUGUAUUAAAAAAAUAGAGGACUUAACAUGUCCCGGACCUUUUUUUUUUUAAAGAAACCCUCAUGUAAAGGACUGGGCCUAAGCCCGCUGGGUCUGGGCCGGACCCUUUGAGGCCCAAGGCUAGCCACCAGUCUCUUUUGUCAAUCAUUGUUAAUGAACUAGCCUAGUUGAAUACUUUUAAAAAUUGAUUGGUCGUAAUUGCCAAUUUCCAAAUACAACAAAUUUUUAUAGGUGUAUUGGUAGACUGAACGAUAGCUAACAACAUGUGACAUAAUUAACUUACUUCCGAAGGAAUUUUUUUUUAUUUAAAGAUACAGUGGAUGAACAUAGAAAUCUUGUGCCAACUUUUGAAAUUCGUCAAUAAUGUAUGGUGGAUCGAUAGGGGCUCAAAUCUCAAAUUGAGAAAGUAAUUUUGAAAAAGAGAAAAUUACUUAAGUUACUGAUUAAUUCCUAUUAUGUCUGUUUAAAGUAGUUGGUUGAAUUUAUAAAAGUAGCCUUAUAAACUCAUAGACAUAUAGAAUUUAAACUUUAACAUUGAGAAAUAUAAAAGUAAACACUUUAAUUAAAAAAUAAAAAUCCCCAAUAAUGCAUAUAGCUAGUUUUAUUAUUAUUUAAUUUAGCCCAAUUAAAUUUAUUAAAGUAAACUCUAGAAAUUCAUUAACCCAUAAAUUUUAAUUUUUAUAUUUUGUCGUUGCGUAAUUUAAAGUCACUGCAAUAAUUUCAAUGAUCCUUCAACUUUCCUAACAUUGAUGUUCAAUUGUAUUGAUUAUAUGCAUUAUCACAAUCAGACAUAAAUUUAAAGCUACCCAUAGAUUAUGUAUAUUAAGCAAAAUUUAGAUUUUUAUCCUCACUAACAAUUGAGAGAUAUCUAUUCUAAGAGAAGGUUUUUGGUGUUCUUGGAAACGUUACUCCUUAUUCAUUUAAUACUUGUCACACGUGUAUUCACAUUAUCAUGAUUGAUUGAAAUAUAUACAUGAUAAAGAUUAAUGAAUAAAAAAGAAACAGUGCUUUAGGAGAUAACACACAAUAAUUUUUCCUACUCCAUCCAGUGGGAAUAUCUACCUCCAUCUAAUUGUAUAUAAUAGGAGGAGGAAUUGUUGAGUCCCCACUUGGGACUCAAGCCAUUGGUCUAUUAACACCCGUUUGUGUUAAAAUUUUGGUUGAAUUUAUAGAAUACUAUAAAUGGUAAAAAAUGCAACCAAAUAAUAUUUCGUGACUCUGUCUUUUCAGUUUUAGGAACAAUGGUGGAAUCAUUUUUGCCGCUUGAAAAACUUACGGAAAAAUUAGGAUCCCGUGCUUUCCAAGAACUUUUAGCACUCUACUGUGUCAAAAAUGACGCAGAAAAGCUAAAGGAGACCUUAACCACUGUCAAAAGUGUGGUUUUAGAUGCUGAGGAAAAGCAAGUCCAUAGCCACCAGUUAAGAGAUUGGCUGGAAAAGCUUAAGGAUGCUUGUUAUGAUGCAGAAGAUGUGUUGGAUGAAUUUGAGGUGGAAGAUCUACGAAGGCAAGUCAUGACGCAAAGAAGCAUCGGAAGAAAGUUACGUAACUUUUUUGGAAGCUCAAAUCCGGUAGCUUUUCGUUUUAGAAUGUGUCAACAAAUCAAGAAAGUCAGAGAGAGGUUUGAUGAGAUUGCAAACAUGAUGCAUAAGUUUGAUCUCAUUGCACGACUUGAUGAUCGUAGUUGGCGAAUUGUGCACGAAGAGAGGGAAUCUACUCACUCGUUUGUGCGUCCAUCAGAUAUUAUUGGAAGAGAUAAAGACAGAGAAAAAAUUAUUGAAGCUUUGAUGCAAACAAGUUCUGGCGAAAGUGAAACUGUAUCUGUUAUUCCUAUUGUGGGAAUUGGAGGUCUGGGCAAAACUGCUCUUGCACAGUUGGUGUUCAAUGACCAAAGGGUAGAAGAGCAAUUUGAGUUGAAAAUCUGGAUAUGUGUUUCUGAGGAUUUUGGUGAGAGACAAAUUAUGACAAAGAUUAUCAAGUCGAUAACUGGUCAAAACCAAGGUGACUUGGAUAUAGAGCAAUUGCAACGAAUCUUGCGAGUUUAUUUGAAUGGUAAGAGAUAUUUACUUGUUAUGGAUGAUGUAUGGAACGAAGAUCCCAAAGUAUGGGAUAAAUUGAAAAGCUUAUUGUCGGGGGGUGCUAAGGGAAGCAAAAUUCUGGUAACCACACGUAGCAAUAAGGUUGCUUCAAUCAUGGGCACGAGGGGAGGCACUACUGGCUACAACUUACAAGGUCUACCAUUCGAGGAUUGCUUGUCUUUGUUUAUAAAAUGUGCAUUUAAAGAAGAGCGAGAUAAACAUUCAAACCUUGUAAAAAUCGGGGAAGAAAUUGUGAAAAAGUGUGGAGGAAUUCCUCUGGCAGUCAGAACACUAGGAAGUCUAUUAUAUUGCUCAACAGAUGAACAUGAUUGGGAAUAUGUGAGGGAUAACGAGAUAUGGAAGUUAGAGCAAAAGGCAAAUGACAUUUUACCUGUUCUGAGGUUCAGUUAUGAUCAACUACCGCCUCGCCUGAAACAAUGUGUUGCUUAUUGCUGUAUCUUUCCAAAGGAUUAUCAAUUUUCAAGUGUUUAUUUGGUUCAAUUUUGGAUGGCUCAAGGACUUCUCCAUCCACUUAAUGAAAAUGAUGAACUAGAUGACAUUGGCAUGCGGUCCUUGAAGCAACUAUGUUCAAGAUCUUUCUUCCACGAUUUGGUACGAGGAUUUGAGAUGUUCACUUUCAAAAUGCACGACCUCAUCCAUGAUCUUGCACAGCUAGUGGCCAAAGGUGAAUUCCUAAUAGUGAACUCUGACUGUCAAUCUAUUCCCAAAAGAGUCCGCCAUUUGUCAUUUGUGGGUGCUAAUGCAUCAAGAAAAGAUUUUUCAAGCUUUUUAUCUGAUUUAGGUCGUGUGAGAACCAUUUUCUUUUCAAUUAAUGAUGAGAAGGUAAGCCAAUCAUUUGUUAGAUCAUGCAUCUCAAAGUCACAGUUCCUGAGAGUGCUAAAUUUAAGUGGCUCUGCUAUUGAGGCUUUGCCAAGAGAGAUAGGUAAUUUGAAGCAUAUGAGAUAUCUUGACCUAUCAAGAAAUUAUAAAAUCAAGAAACUUCCAAAUGCCAUUUGCGAGCUGCAAAGUUUACAAACACUGAAUCUUGAAGAAUGUCUGGAGCUAGAAGAGUUGCCUAAAGAUAUAAGGUACCUUGUUAGUCUCAGAGUGUUUGAGGUAACCACAAAGCAGAAGUCUUUGCAGGAGAGUGGAAUAGGGUGCUUGGUUUCUCUUCGUUGUUUGAUAAUCUCUCAUUGCAGGAAUUUGGAAUAUUUGUUCGACGAUAUAGAUCAACUAAGUGUCCUUCGAUCAUUAUUAAUUGCUGAUUGUCCCCGUCUAAUCUCAUUGCCACCUGCCAUGAAAUACCUCAGCUCAUUGGAGACUCUAAUGUUUGGUGUGUGUGAAAGCCUUAGUCUUAAUUUGAGCAUGCAAUUGGAAGGGGAAGGAAGUCAUCAAGCUCGCAAUACCACAAGGCCUCACCUUCGGAAACUUCUCAUUGCCGGAGUAACACCGUUAUUGGAAUUGCCACAAUGGCUUCUUCAAGUUUCUGCUAGAACUUUACAAAACUUAUUUAUUGCAAAUUGUCCCAACUUCAUGGCACUACCAGAGUCACUGAGAAAUUUCGAAGCACUUGAGGGUCUUGUCAUUGGGAAUUGUCCAAAAUUGUCAUCGUUGCCGGAGGAUAUGCUUCACUUGAAAACAUUGAGGAUUAAAGGCUGUCCUGCACUGAGUGAUAGAUGCAAACUGCUAACAGGUGAAGAUUGGCACAAGAUUUCCCAUGUCGCUCACAUUAAGCUUGAUGACGAGAUAAUUAAAUCAAGUGAUAUUUAGGUAUGGAUUAAUCUCUCCUUUGUUUUUCCUCUUUUCAUUCGAGUUUUUACUUUUGAAUUUCUCAUCUAGCUAUACCGUUUAUAGUUUGAUGUUUUGUUCUGUUUACCGAACAGAAACUUGUUGAAUGUUAAUUAGUUAGUUAGUUCAAAUUUGUACUAAUUUCUUUUCUUCUAAUAAAUGAUUAGUUUGUUAAUACAAACUCCAGCAUAUUAUUUGGAAAACCGAACCAUUCUUGGGGUUAUUUAUAUCUGUUUCUAUAUCCAAACGGUUCAGGAAUUUUCAGAACGGAAGUUAUAAUGGGAUUUUCUUAAUUAGCCAGUUAUCUUCGUAUGGAACCUUAUUCACAUAAAAAAAGAGCUUCUGAAAUUUCAAUUUUUGUUAAUAUUUUAACUCGCGCCGAAGCAUCUAACAAUUUGUCCUCUAUUUUCUCUUCUUUUCUUUUCUUUUUCCCCAAAUAUUGCAGCUUUCUUCGGAGAGGUUCAGGGAAGCUAUAGAGACAAUGAAAUUAUUACUGUAAUGUUGUUCGGAACAGAGGUUCAACGGUUUUAAUGUUGUGUUUAAAUUUGCAAGUAUUAUAUAUUCAUUACUUAUGAUAAGUACAUCGAGUGAUGUAUAUAUGCGUGCUUGUAUGACCAUGACUGAUGACCUUAAAUAUGUAUGUGCCUGUGUUAUCAUGACUGAUAACCUUAAAUAUAAUACCAAUAAUGUUGUAGAAUUUCUGAAAUUCUCAUGACGAACAAUUUAUGUAAUUUAUAGUCUGUUCUUUCUCCUCCCUCGGCAGUCAGUAAUAUAAUUUGCAUUGCCUGCGUUGCUUAGCCCUACAUAAUUUGCAGAUAUAUAUAUAUAUUUUUUUGAAGAGUAUUGAUGUGUUGUAUUUUGUGCUUUGUGAUUGAUGACUUACAUUUUCCCAGGAAAAAAAGGGGAAACGGAUAGGCUUCUUGAAUUUAUCCAGUUAGUUUUUUGAAUGGUAACCUUUUAGGAUAUGACUCGCAUGUUAAUUAGUAGCAAUUGGCCUGCUACUAAUUAGAUAUUGAAUUUUGGCCUUGAGGUGAAAUUAGUGAGCAUGUUUCUUCAGGAUCUUUUUUUUUUUUAUAGGACACUUGAAGAAGAAAAUUCAUGUUUUUGCGAUGCUUCUUUCUCAAUACAAAAUGACUAAUUAGAAAGAAUACUUAUUAUAAUAGAACCUAGAAUUUGUAUGUAUCUUAGGAUGAAAAUUCUGUACAAUAAAAAGUCUUAAAGUGUUGUCGAUCGACACUAUCACCUUAUCAUAUUACCAUUCAAUUUUUCAUUUUUAUCUAAUUAAAAUGAAAAAUUAAAGUUGAUACGAGAAAAUUACAGAAGAUUGGAACUUGAAGGGCAAUGUUAAUUUUGAAACGGCACCAUUUAAGCUCCAACUACUCUAUAUAUCAGCUGAGACAGAGAGAGAUGGUUUCAGCAUGCAAGCAUGUAUGUUGAGAGAAACGGAUGAAAUCACUAAAUUGUUGGGGGUAGAGGAGGCGGGAGAAGAGAUGGUUUCCAUUUCGGCCCUAGCUUUCCUUCAUUUGGUUGACAAAAGUUCAUCAGAAUUCAAACUCCGUUACAUCGUUACGGGUCUUUUGUUUAUUUAUUUUCAAUGUCUUAUUAUGUUUUUAAUUAUGAGCUCAUGAGUUGAGUACUUGAGUUUGAGUCUAGUGAGUCCAGGAUCGUUAAGUUGGACCAAGACUCGUGGGAACAAUUAAUUUUUCUCCAUUUCUUUGAGAUUUGAUCAAUAAAUUAGUUUCAGUUAUACUAAUUAUUCAAUUAUUUUAAAUUAAACCAACUUGUGUUGAGAGGCUAAAGUUCCUUUAUUAACCUUAAACUCUUAGCUUAAAAUUCCCUUUAUCAUAGAGUUCAACGAAAAUAAAGGAUGUUUGAUCCUGAACAAGAUGUCUAUUGUUUGCAGCUGAUUUUGGGUCAAUGAAUAAAAAACCAUAAAACCAACCCAAGAGCAAUAAAUUUAUAUUUUUGUCGGGGAGCGGGGUACCUCGCUUGUUUAGACUUUUUGUGGAGCAAAGAAGGAUUGAGAUGACGGAGGAUAUGGAGGGGGUCUGACUUUAGGUGCGGAGGGCUGGUGAAACUCGCCUUAAACCUGCGAAACAACAAAAAACGAGGUCAGAGGUGGAGCUGGGGGUGGCCGGCGACCACACUCCGACGCUCAAGUCAGAGUUGGGUUAUCUCAGGUUAGAGAGCUUGCAAGCUCUCGGUAAUGGAGAUUUUGAAGUUGAAGAAACUCUAGUUCUUUCUGGUGAGUCUGUUCCCCCCUUGAUAAAAAUCAAACCUGAGUAUUUAUAUGGUGUACCCCGGUCGCCGUGCCACCUGGCGCUAUUUUAGUGGCGUUCCUUGCUGUAAUGUCAAGAAUAUUCUUAUUUUUAUGCGUAUGGCGGCUUAGACGUUUCAAAAAUAUGAGUGGAGAGCAAGUUUGUGGCGUAUUCACGUGCUGGGCGUAGUGGAGUGGUCCCGCGUACCUCUGCAAUUCCGUUGUAAUUUUGCAGGCGUAGCAGGAAAAGCUGGUGGUCCCAACUGUCACAAUAUCACACUUUUAGCGGAUUCGCUGGCGUGACAGGCGCCUGUCUCCUCUUUUGCGGCACGAGAUUUCCUUAUUUUUUGACACGUAUCAAACCGAUCUUUUUGAGAUUCGGGGCCCACAUAUCCCUCCACAUAUUUACGAACACUUUUGUAUCCUUUCAUGGUGUACCCGAGGUACCCGAGAUAAAUUAAUCUCUUAUCGACACGUGGCGCUUCAUCAUUGGCAUCAUAUUUCCUUCCCAAACAUCUAUUAUAGUCUUCUUAUAUUGUCUGUUCAAUAUCAUUUUUACGCCUUUAUUUUACUUUUGAGCUGUAACAUUGAGUCACAUUCUUUUUGCUGUUAUUAUUUCGAUUAGUGACUGGUACAGUGGUAUUUGAACUGCAUAGUAUGUCAAACUUUCGCUCUAUAUGCCUUAGAAACUCUGUACAUCACUAAUUUCCUAGCACAGGCCUUGUUGACUGUCAAAGAUUUGAAGCAUAUUUCUGGAUUGAAGGCUUUUCUGUAGUCGAUUUGAUGAUAAGCACAUUUAUUAUCUCCAAUAUUUUAAGCAGUAAUUUGUAACUAGUAUUUUAAACACGUCAAGAGCCGCUACAAUCAUAGAGCUUGGAGCCCAUCAGGCCAUCACAGCGGCGAGAGUACAAAUGAGUUCGUGGGUCUACUCACUAAUGGACUAAAGCCUAUUCACAAGAAUUCCAAGAACGGCUCAUCGCCACACGUCCCUGGGGUUUGUACGUGCGGCCGUCCACUUCAUGUUCAUCUUUUAUGUACAGAGACUGGACACGUGCUAGCAUCUUAAGAACGUCGUCACGACAAGAGCCGUUCGUUUCCACAGCCAUCAAAACAAGUUGGCUAAGGAAGGCGACUAGUCAAUAAAUCAACGGUCGGUGAGCGGCAGAGCCAAUGGGUCCGCCUACCUUGCAACACUUGCAUUGUACCCCAAACUUUGUCCUUUUCUGAUUCAGCCAAUAAAUUUGAUGACUAAAGUGUUCAACGGAUGAGAUGUGUUCAAUUGAUUAUUAACACCUAAAUCUCUAUUGUUUAUUAUAAUGUUAUAAAAACUAAAUUUUUUUAAAUAUUUGUUUAUAUAACUCUUACUAUUUUAAAUUUUUUAAAGUUUGAUCUAUUGACCUAACUUAAUUAUAAAAAUAAUUGAUGGUGUAAAGAUAAUAAUAUAAUAUCACAUAAAAUUUUUUAAAACACGUGAAAAUUGAUAAAUGUAAACAAUAUUUCUUUUGUUAUAUAAUCUAUAUUUAAUAUAGAAUAAAUAAACUGAAUAUGUAUUAAGAAUAUAGGUUAUUAACCUUGCAAUACUUUAGAAAAAUAUAAAAUAAAAAAGGUAAAAUUUCAAAAUAAGAAACAUGUAAAAAGUGUUAGGUUGUAAAAUUUUAUCAUUUUAAUAUUGCAAAACUUUACUUUUUUUUAAUUAAAUUUUUGUUUCUAACAUUAGUUGACAUGCUAGUUUAUUUAUACAUACAAUGUGUUAAUGUACCUAUAAAAUAUCAAUAUUACUCUUGAAAUUUAAGGGAGCCAUUUUAAUUUUUUAAAAUUUUAAAUGUAGCCCAACAAAGUUAUAGAAAGAUAAAUAAAGAAUAAUAUAAAAAGAAGUUAUUUUUUAAAGAAUAUUUCAAAAGAAUUCGAGAUUUAUGUUUCUUGAGAAUUGUCCUUUUUUUUAGAUAUUUGAGCUUAUGAAUCUUUUUGUAAUGAUAAUUUAUUAUUUAUUCUUGAUUAAAAAUAAUUGAAUAGUAAAUUUAUUGGUUUCUGAAUACUCUUUUAAAUGUAGAGCAGCAACUUAAUUUUUAUUAUGUCAGCCUAAAUUUUUUUAUGAUAGCUAAUCAACUAUCUCAAAAGACUUUGCCACCAUUAUGUUUACUUUUUCUAUAUCUUCUAGACCAUCAUCGCUCUAAGAACUAAGGAUUCGUUAGGCAUACUGUACUAUAUUAUAUUAUAUUACAUUAUUUAAUAUAGGUGUAUUGUAUUAUGUUAUAUUGCAUUAGCAGUAAAUUAUAAUAAUAUAGUACAACAUUUGGUAAUUGGUAUUACAUUGUAUUGCAUUAAUUUUAAAUUAAGAUUAAGCUACCAUUUUUUUAAUUUAUUAUUAAUUAUAUUAAAUUAUUAUUUUUAUAUAAAUAUAAUAUGAUAUAAUAAAAUAAUAUUAUACUAUAAUUUAUUUUUAUAUUUUUAUUUUUAUUAUAAAAAUAAAAAUAUAAUAAAAAUAUAUUUAAUGCUCAAUUAAGGCAAAAUAAUAAUAAUAAUAACAAUAGUAUUAUUUAAAACGAAAAAAUCUAUAAAGUUUAAUGAUGAUGAUGAUGAUGAUGAUGACAUUAAUAAUAACAUAAUAAUUAAAAUAAUAAAAUUAAUAAAUUUUAAUAAUAUUUAUAUUAAUAAGAUAAUAAUUAAAACAAUAAAGUUAAUAUAUAGUAAUGACUUAAUUAAAGUAAUCAUAAUAAUUAAAAUAAUAAAAUUAAUAAAUUUUCAUAAUAAUAAUAAUAAUAAUUAAUGACAGUAAUAAAAAUAAAAUAAUAAAUUAACAAAUUUUAAUGAAAACAACAAUAUUAAUAAGAUUAAUAGUGAUGAUGUUUAUGAUAGUAAUAAUAUAUAACAACAAUUAAAAUAAUAAAUUUCAAUAAUAAUAAUAUUAUUAUUAUUAAUAUAAUAAUAAUGAAAUUAAUAAAUAAUACUAAUAAUAACAGUUAAAAGUUUUUUUAAAAGCCAUUUUAUUAAAAAAGGAUUUAUGUAUAAAACUUUGUAACUUCUAGUACUUAUUCUAUUUUUUCAUAGAAUAUAAGAUAGUGCAGUGUAAUUAAUUCAAAAAGACUAAUGUUGCGUUUACUUUUUGGAUUGGAGUGGGAAUCCUGAGGAGUGGGAAUCCUUGGAUUAGGAGUGUGGAGUGGGAGUGUGAGUAGGGUGUUUACUUAGACUAAAUGAAAGUAUGGAUUGUCAAUUAGAAUCCCAAUUAUUUGUUUACUUUGUCUUGGAUUGGGAGUAAAUUAUUUUAAAUUACAAUUUUAUCCUUAUGUACAGAAUUAUAAUUUGUAAUUAAAAAAUUAAUAAAAAAUAUAUUUGGAAAAUAAAAUAAAUAUUUUAUUAUAUUUAUAAAUUAAUAAUAAUUACUAAUAUUCUUAAUUAUGUAAAUCAUAAUUUUUUAUUAAUUUUAAUUUAAAUUAUGUGAAUAAAAAUUAUUAAUAAUAGCAACACAAAUGAAAUAUUAUUAUUGAUAAUAUAGUACAAAAUUAAUAUUUUUUAGAAUAAAAUAUUUAUUAUUAUUAAUUAAAUAAAUAAUUAAUAUUUAUUAAAAUUAAUGUUUAAUAUUAUUAAUUUAAAUAUAAUAUUUAUUUAUUUUUAUUUUAUUAAAUUUAAUAAAAUAAAUAUGAUAUAAUUAUUAUUUUUAAUAAAUAUGAUAUUAUUUAUUUUAUGAAAUAUUAUUUAUUUAUUUUAUUAAAUUUUAUUUAUUUAUUUUAAUUUUAUAAGGAUAAAAUGGGAAGAGGGAGGAGUGGAUUCCCACUCCCACCUCCCCCAAUGGGAGUAGGAAUCCCACUCCCCACUCCAAAUUUGGGUGGGACCCACGGAUUCCCACUCCCACUCCCCUUUUUUUUGAGGUAAGUAAACACUGGAGUGGGAGGAAUCCACACUCCACACUCCCACUCCAAAAAGUAAACACUGCCUAAAUUCAGUGGUAUGCUGCAACCGUUGCAACAUAAUUUCAUCCCACUUUUAACAACUAUAAAAAAUUUUCAACGAUAAAAUAGGAGGCUAAGGAAACAAUAAAAAAUGUGCAGAAAAGUUGUUAAUAAAGAGGAAAAACGAAAGCUCCAUCUCCAACAAUGCCGCGUACAGCGUGGACCGACUUUUGCUGGUCGGAUAAGAAAAAUAAGAACCGUGUUCGGUAACACAGAUUGUGGCACGUGGUGUGCGUCUAUUGGGCCUGAGUUGUGGUGGACCCAUAUGGGCCAUGAGUGUUUAAAAUCCAAUAAUAUAUCCGCCAGGACUCAGCUUUCGUCUUAAGAUAUAAAAAACGCGGACAGCUGUUCACCUUGUUCAACGCGGUUACUUUCAUCAGCAUCGUCGUCAUUAUCAUACUAAACAAAAGCUUACCCCACCUGCGGUCAAUCCUUACCCACUACCGAAACUACCCUUGUCUCAACAUUGUUUUUGUCGCCUACUAAACUCUAAAGCAGGGCAAUUUUGGAAUGGAAUUAAGCUACAGCAGAUGAUUAACGCGACCGCAUUAGCUACAAUAAAGUAGGUUUAAUUUUGGUUGGUGAAUAGUCGAUCCAACCCUAGUUCUUAGAGAUCACUACAAACUGACUCCCUAGAUACACUAAAAAAAGUCCCAUUUCAGCACAUAUACAAGAGUCGAGAGCCCUCAUUUUUCUUUGCUUCAGCCAUUUUAUAGCAGUGUCAUCGCAAACACCUUGAGCUCUAUCGAAUCAUCGAAGACAAUUUGUGAUUAGCGGGAGAAUUACAAGAAAGGUACAACUACUUCAAAUUGAUAGAUCUGUUUAUAUGAUUCAGCGAUAGUUUUAUAUAUGGUUAGGUUAUGACAAUAAUCAAGAGUUAAUCAUGUACAUCAUCAGUUACAUAAAUGCACAUACUAAUUUAUUCCUCUACUUGCCAGAAUCAUACAUGUAAAAUGAGAUGAAUUUUAAUGUUUAAAACUUUGCAAUUCAUUAAAAUUUUAGUGGGAUAUUAAUUGGUAAAAUCACUCAGUGUUAGUAUAAGAAGUUUGUGAAUUGUGAUUCCAUCAGUUUAUGUGGGUGGAGCGAGAAUUAUUUUUUUAAAAAAUAAUUAAUAAUAAUAUUAAUAAAAAGACAUAAAUUUCAAGGUUUAAACUUUACAAUUCAUUAAAAUCUAGAGAGAUAUAUUGCGUAAAAAAUUUGUAUCUAAUUAAUUUUCAGGUAGGGGGAUAUAUAUAUAUAUAUAUAUAUAUUAAUUUGGAUAAUAUUUAGAUACCUCCCCUGAGGUUUGACAUAUUUUUAGAUAGAUGGCGAAGAUGUGUUUAUUAGUGAAAACCCCCCUGCCGUUAGUUACUUUUCUGCUUGACUGUAAGUUCACAUUUAAAAUACAAUAUUGCCCUUGACAGCUUUUGGCAUGCCUGACAUGCCUCAAACCUUAAUUAAAGCAUCUGCUCCAAAAUCACUGCUACAAAAUUUGAUGAAACUACCCUCACGAUGUAUGUUAUUUACAACUGUAUCAAACAAAUAAUACGAUAAUUUUCCCUUAAUUUAACAUUUAAAAUUUACAAAUAAAACCAAAUAAAAAGAAAAAAAAAAUGAACGUUAAAUUGUUGCCUUCCAAAGUCUUUCAAUAGAAUGCUAGAAUGCUGGAUGAAUCAGACAAAAGCAAACUAAUGAAAACUAACAGCAACUAAUAAGUUCUAAACUGCAGUGGUGUGCACUUAAUAGUAGCCACACUACAAACAAACAAAUUAAGAUUCAAUGCCACCAAAGUAAUCGAUAGCUUAUUUUAAUCCAUCACGGGUCUAGUGUCGUAACUACAGUACUAACAAACAUAAUAUUCCACUCAAAUAUGAAUUCAAUUGAAUUUAGCACAACUGAGAAGUGAAGCUUAAAUUGAAUAUAAAACCAAAUAUUGCAUUUCAGUAUCAAAUAAUUUAAACAGUAUUAGUUAUAGCUAGAAUUAACAACAUUCACAAAGCAGGCAAUAUAGCUGCACACAAUAGGCUCCUCGUAACUCAUGUCCAAUCUGCAGGAAUAGCAAGCUUGCGAUAUUACUUGUCUUUGGCAACAUGAAUUUUUCAUAUACAAAAAAAUCAAAAUAAGAAAAAACUCAAACCUAUGCAUAGUCUGAGAAGAAGAUGAUAUAUCCGCCUUUCUAUUUUUACCUAUCAAAAUGUGUUAUAUCAUCAAAUCAAUCCCUUCAAAUAUCAGUUGGUAGGAUUAGAUUAUGCUUCAAUGCUUUGGUUUUCAAUGCACCUUUAGUUGAUCUGCUUCAUUGCUGGAUGCUAUGGGUCAAGUAGUUUCAUUCUUGGGUAAGCUAUCUUGGUUUCUAGAAGCAAAAAAAAAAAAAAAACAAUAAAAAUGAAAAACGAUAUUAAACAUAAACCAAUGGUUACUGACUACAUUUAAAAAAAAAAAAAACUAAUGUGGAUUGGAAUUAAAAUCUCAGCAUUAUCACAGGCGUUGGACUAGCACAGGACAAUCUUCGCAGCUAUACCACUUUCAAGAUGCUGGGAACUACAACUUACACAUCCAUCAACACUUGUGACACAAUCCACAACAUAUAUAAGCAAUGAAUGAAGUUAUGCUCUACAGAGCAAUGUAUGAUGCACAAAAUCUUUAUCAAAUGCAGGCAAAAAAAAAAAUAAAUAGAAAACUCCACAAAAAUUUCAAGAUCAGGCAAAUUAAAAGAAAAUCAAAUAGAAAACUCCACAUCAUGGUGUCUUAGGUGAAAGGCAGCUUAAAAUUGUUUGCAUGCAUCAUCAUCAACUAACAUUAAACCCACUUUAACUCAGCAAAGUUCGGCAUCAAUUAGUCUACUUGUGUAACAAUUUUGAAGGUAGUGCUCUUCAAAUACAUCAGGAGCAUCACUAGACAUAAAAAUAAAACUAAGAAUAAAAAAUUCAAUUUUUUAACCCAUCUAAGUUGAAAUCAAGCUCUGAUUUAGCACCAACAUCAAACCCAUUUAAUCCAUCGUCAUUUAAGCUUCAGGAAAAUCACGGCUUAAUAAACUCAUCAACUUCUUUUUCUUUCCCCUUCCCCCUCCCCAAAAAAAAAAAAAAUUAGGCUUCUUCACUGUAAAUAAACCCACAACAAAUACUCGGACACGACCAACUAUCAAAAAAUGCAUUCUACAUUUUUAGUAAAGGCAGCAUAAAUGCACUCCAAAUGAACCCAAACAAUACUUGAAUUCGACACUGACCUGUUAUAAUUGGCUUCCCCAAAACAAUCUGAAGGUAUAAGACGCUGACAAAACUCAGAUCAAAACACAAGGUGCGGUGACUAUUGUUCCUUUACUUCACGUAAAGAUUGAGCACUGGACUGGUUUGCAUAUGACAAAGGUUUCGAUUUGAUUCUAACACAGAGCUAUACACGGAACUUGAAGAAAGAGAAAUAGGAAGCUUGAAAGAAAGAAAAAAAUAUAUAUUGAAAAUCCAACCAGGGGCAUUUUUGUCUUUCUAAUGUCAACUAACAGUCAAGCACGAAAUUAACUGACGGCAGGGAGUUUUUCACUAAUAAACGAAUCUUCGCCAUCUAAGUGCAACAAGCCAAAAACUGAGGGGAGGAAACUAAAAAUUACCCAUAUUAAUUUUCUAGUCUGAGAUUUUACAGUGCGGGAAAGUCCGGUAAAAUUUUAAAACCAUACGGUUUUGAAGACUUACAGUUUUAAGUUUUUUAAACCGUGCGGUUUUAAAGAUUUCUCAAACUUUUCCACACUUAAAAAUCUUGGACUGGAACACACACACACACACACACACACACACACACACACACACACACACACACACACACACAUAUAUAUAUAUAUAUAUAUAUAUCUAUAUAUAUAUUUUGUGAGGCUAUUUCCACACUUAAAAAUCCUGUAUGCAUUUGCUUGCCCCCAAGGAGCUGAAAGUUCUCAAAUUGUUUGUAGACGUAAUAGUUCUCCUGAUGUCAUUUGGCUUGCUAAUCUUUUUUGCUCGAAAAUUUGCCCAUUGUGUGGUCUUGACAGUGGGUGAAAUUGAUUCGUGGUUUCAGAUGAAGACAGCAGCAGAUGUGUGUGUGCUAUAUGACAUCGAGAAAAAGCAAAAGCCUUAAAUUGUUCAUCAACAUUUUCCAUUUCAGAAGAAUCUGUUUGUGGUUCUCCUGCUCGAGUGCCUACUUUUCAGUGUGCAAGCAUAUAUGUUGAGACCGGCAGAUGAAAUCACUAAACUUUUACAGUUGAUCUGAGGCUCCUCUAAAGAAUGAUUUGGAUUUUGGAAUUAAUUUGGGGAAAGGGAUUUUUUCUGGUAUAUGAGUGUAAGCAUUCCUUCAAUCACGUAGUUUUGUGCCAUUAACAUAAUGGCAAUUCUACAACUGGGAUAAUGAUAAUUUUGUGAUUGGGAACUCUUUACUGGUUUCUCUUUCGCCAUCUGUGUCUAUGAUUAAGGUUGUUUAAAGUGUUAUGGCUUUUAAUCUACAACCAUUGCGAAAUGGACUCACUAGCUGGCAAAUAAUAAAACAUAGUGCUGUCAAAUUUUGUAAGGAUUAUGUAUACACACUCUUUCGUCUUCAAUGCCCUGAAACCGGGUAACUACAUGUAUGAUUUUCAUUCAGAAAAACUGGCGAGAACUAAUGACUUUGCAGAUUAAAAAAUAAGUAGGAUUAUCAGAUUAUGUAGCAUUGUUAUGUAAUGUCUUGUGGUUUUUUUAAGGUUAAAGUUGGUUUGGAAAUUAAUUAAAAGACGAUUUUCAUUCUAUCAUAAGACGAGUUUUUAACAAGAGGAGAAGGUUCCUUUUAUAAUUUACUAAUUUAUACAACCUUUAAUAUUAAAAAAAAAAUUUAUAUAUUAAGGACGAUUAUUCUUGCUCACUUAGUAAGAUAUGUACAUAACAUAGAUGUGGUAAGCAAGGAAUCAAUUAUGUAUUUCUUGUAUCUGAAAAAAUGAAUCAUCCUUUAACGAGGGUUAUCAUCAAUUGCAGGUUUCUAGUUUGGUUGCUUGGUUUGAGGACUAUGAAUAUUACAUUGUCAUAACUAAAGGAAAGAAUAUUGUAUACACAGCACACUAUAAUUACCAAUUCUUUAUCUUAUAAUAUAAGUUCAUAGUGAUUAAUUUGUCCGUCUUCAGCCAAAAAAAAAAAAAAAGUCCCAUUUCAGCACAAAUACAAGAGCCCUCAUUUUUCUUUGCCCCGGUCAUUUUAUAGCAGUGUCAUCACAGACACCCCAAGCUCUGCCGAAUCAUCAUAGACAAUUCGUGAUUGCUGGGAGCAUUACAAGAAAGGUACGACUACUUCAAACUGAUGGAUUUGUUUGUAUGAUUUAGCUAUAGUUUUAACUUUUAACAAUAAACAAGAGACAAUCAUGUACAUCGUUAGUUACAUAAAUGUAGAUACUAAUUUAUUCCUGUACUUGCCAGAUCCAUACGUAUAAAAAUGAGAUAAAUUUUAAGGUUUAAAAAAUUUCAAUUCGUCAAAAAUCUAGUGCCAUAUUAAGCGGUAAAAUCACUUAGGGUUAGUACAAGAAGAGGUUUAUGAUUCCCCGACCCGUUUAUAUGUAGGGGUUGAGAAGGUAUUAGGCAAUAAAGAAUUAGUAAAAAUUAAUAAACAUAUUAUAAAAAGAAAUAAAUUUCAAGAGAGAUCGUAAAAGAUUGUAUUUAACUUAUCGUUAGUGGAAUGGAAUCUUUUUGGAGAGGCUAUAUUUGGCUUGGAACAUAUAUUAGAACAAGGUUAUUUGAACCCACCGCACUCUCCAAAAUCCACUUCUCAAUAAAAAUUUCAUUACAAAAUUUUUCUUAAUUAAAUUACUAUUUUAACCAAAUAUUAUGUUAAUUUAUCUCCCUAAAGCUUUUACUUUUUUCACCCUUUUUUCUUUUUUCCUCUCCGUCUCCCCAAUUUUUUUUUCUAGUCCUGUGUGGUUCUUAUACUUUAAGGCUUCUAUUGGAGUAAAAUCUCUAUUCAAAUUGCUUAUCCAAAAUUUUUUUUUUCUUUUAAAAUUUGCCUUUCCUUUACCCUCGAGUCACUAUUAGAUGUAUAUGCUCGUGAUGAAACUUUAGUAAUUGGAUUUCUAUUAAAUAUUUUAAUUUAAAAAAAUGAGAAGAUCACUAUAAAAAUAUCAAAAGAUCACAAACUUAAUUAUAGCAAUAAUUAAGGGAAUUAAAAUACUUACUAUUUCUGUUUGAACUUAUUAUUAUAAAGAAAGAAAGGGAAAAAAAAAGUCGCUGCAACUGCAUCAAUUGAGGACAUGUUAUGAAAAGUAUCAUAGAAAGUAGUGAGAGAAACAACUAAUGAAAAUUAAUGAUACUGAUUGAGGGUAUAUUGGGAAUAUUUGUGGGUUUUUUGAAUGAAAAAAUGAAAUUUUAAGUUGUGAUAAUGUGUUUAUUAUAUAAAUGGGUUUAUUCAGCAUUACAAUGGGUUUAAAUGGCUUUAUCCUUCAUAUUAUAAUACAUUUUUAUAUUACUAUAAUAGCCGUAAUAUAGAGGAUAAUGUAAUGAAAAUAUUGUUACUCUUAUACCUAUUAAAGAAACAAUAUUAUCUUGUACAGACAAGAACACUCCAGUGCUCAAGUGUAAAAGUUUUUUUUUUUUAUUACAUGAGACUAUUGCUCAAAUUACAACUCAUAUUACAUGAGAAUAUAACUAAUAUUUACAAAUCAGACUAUAACUGGGACCAACAUACAUCAAUGUUAAUGGAGCGCUGCCCAAAUUUUACUCCCACUGGGGUAAGGAAGCAGACUGCCUUCACUCAAAUUUAAUUGAGGAAGAAAAUACCCCCAUAAUGCAUUGUGGGGGUUCGAACUGCUGCUCUCCAAGUUGGAGAGCAACAGCUCACACCACUCGGCCAAAGGCCGAGUGCCUCUCAAGUGUAAAAGUUUUAGUAAAACGUAUAAGAACUCUUCAGUGUAAACAGAAUUUCGUCAAGGUGCUGUAAUAUAAUCUAAUGCUUUUUGGUAGUGUAAACUAUGUGUGCCACGUGUAGUAUUUCAAUCUUCACAAGUGGCAUUGUAAAUAGUGGCUCUUAUUUCAGUUCCUCGUAGGCACUCUAGAGACACACGUUAGCUUCGAAGCUAGUAUUUGGUCAUCAUGUGCUUCUUUUAAUGAAACAUGUGGUUCAUUUUAUCCUUAUACGAGAGCAUUUUGUGCAGAAUAACCAUGUCAAAUGCUCAUUUAUCAAGGACAUGUGUCGUGUUCUCAGAACAUAGUAAAAAUAUGAUACGCUAACCCAUGUACAUUCAUGGAAAAUCAAAUGAAAACAAAGAACUAAAAAAAAGUACAAAGGCUAAUUAAUAAUGUUUGAGUUUGAGAUGAUUAAUAUUUAAUUUUAUGGUUGUAAAGAUAAGAAUAAAAGUAGGUCUAGUGAGGACUAUCCUCAUAUUAUAACACUAUUUAAAAUAACUUUUGUUAUAAAAGAUUUUAUUCAAUUAGGUAUAGAGACCGUUCAAACUAUAUUUUAGGUACAAACUCAUCUAUUUGACAUAAUAGUAUGCCUCAUAAUAGGACUAACAUUGGUCAAAUCAACCUAUUUCGAUAAGAUCCAUCGAAAUUAAUAUUUAAAAGACUUAUCACCUCAUUAUACAAUACACAACUUUGCCAUCUAGUAGAGAAUGAUUGGUUGGCACACCAUAGUUUACAUAAAUAUUUCUAAUAUUUGAAUCAUUUGUUUGGAAAUUUUAAUCCUACCAAGAUCUUGUAAGUAAACAUAUCAAAUAAAUAGUAAAUAGAUAAUAUAUAGAGAAUAAAACCAAUCAUACAACACAAUAAUUUACCAGAGAAAAAUUCCUAUACUGGAGAAAAACCACGGCCGCCAAAGAUGACGAAAGAAAAUCCACUAUGUAAAGAUCAUUACAAUCACUCUAGUAUUUUCUUCACAUACAAAACCCCAAUAACAAAUAAUCUCUCAUUCUAGAAACUGUCUACUUGUAUAGAACUGAUUAUUGCAAACAAGUGAAUCUAACCUUCUUAUAUAUUGUGAUUGUUUCAUAUAAGAGAAGUAUUUAUUUCCUUAUAUAAUUUGUAUUCCUCCUUUAAUAAAUUCUUUGGAAUUACUUAUUCCUUAAACAUGAACCCCCCAAACAAAAAAAUUACUAAAUAAAAAAAUUAUAGGAAAUAUUUUAAUUUAGGAUUUACAAAUCCUCAUUGAAAAAAGAGAUAUGUUUCUUAAAAAUCUCCACUUUGGCGAGUUUUUUAAUUAAACGACAAAAUAUGAUCCGCCAUACAUCUAUGCAACCAUGUCGUCUCCACCUUCUUUAGUCUACCAAAACCACACUGACAUUGGACUAAUGAGAAUCACUCCACCAUGAGUAAAAUCUUGUCCUCUAUCUAGCAGCCAUAAUUUUCUACAUCGAGAAUCAUCAUACUUCACAUUAUCCAGAGUACACAUGUUUGGCAUAGGUUGAUCACAUUUUCGAAAUUACCCACUCUCAUGUUUGGCUUCUUUGAGAGUCCUCAACGAUCAACAUAAAAAGUCCACCACAUACCUUGCAUAAAUACUAAACUACAUGUUGUGUGCACAUCUUGUGGACCCAUUAGCAAUAACACAUCCUCUUCCACGACACACCAAUAGAUGACAUAAUUAGUUUCUCCUUCUAUUAAUUUACAGCUACUUUCCAAAUUUGCUAUAUUCUAACAAUCUCUUUUAAGAUGUUUUGAUUACCUACACUCCUCCAGGGGUUUCUACUAGUGGAAUAGGCCUGACAUUGCUCUUUGCUUUACUUGUACAGACAGAUUGAAUCAAUAUGUUAUUGACUUGAGCUUCCCAAAAGCCAAAAUUAAUUAUUCCAUCAAACUUUUCUAUUUCUAUCUUCAUAGGUUUUGAAAACCUCCUUGUUGACGUAUUUGCUCUACAUUGCAGCCUUAGCUCUAUUAUCACCUGCUAAGAAAUAAUUAAUCUCACCUAAGAUUCGCAAGAAAAAAUAUGAAAUAAAUAGUAAAUAGAAAAUAGGUGGAGAAUAAAGCUAAUAAAAUAAUACAAAAAUUUACAAGAAAAAUUUCUAUAUUGGAGAAAAAUUAUAAUAGCUAAGGACGAUAAGAGAAAAAUUUAUUAUGUAAAUAUUAUUAUAAUUACUCUAGGGUUUUUCUCACACCUAAAACACCAAAAGCACCUAAUUUUAAUAGAACUACUUUUCUCUCACACUGAAAACUAUUUACUUACAGAUCAUUGAUUGUUGAAUUAUGCAAAGAAGUAAACUCAAUCUCUAUAUAUAUAUGUAGUGAUUAUUUCAUAUAGAAGUUGUAUUCCUUUCCUUAUAUGAUUUGUAUUCCACCUUGAAUAAGUUAAGUUCUAAAGAGAAAAUUACUUAUUUCUUAAAUAUGAAUUAUCUUCAAUAAGAAAACUGAAAAGUGUAGAAAAUUCCUAAUUUAAGACUUAAAAAUCUUCUUUGAAAAAAGAGACAUCUCCCAAUAUCCUCAAAUCCUCCUUACAAUGCCACCAAUCUCUUUUGUGACUAGCCCAGUUGAAACUUUUAAUGGAUGGGCUGUAAUUGCGAAUAUCCAAAUACAACAAAUUUCCAUAGGUAUAUUGGUAGAUUGAAUGACAACUAACAAUGGUAGACUCUUGUGCCAACUCAUGGAAUUCAUCAAUAAGGCCUUGGCUGAUCCAUCUCAUGACUGGUAGAGUUCAAACCCCCGCUAAAUAGUAAAAAAAAUAUUUGGAUUAUUAAUUACUCUUUCUUAAGUCUAUUUAAACUUAACUUUGAGAAUUAUGAACGUCUACACUUUAAUUAAAACAAUAAAAGCCCACCCGUUUGUAUUUAAAAUUUUGUUUGAAUUUAUUCACGAGCAACAAGAAUAGUAUAAAUGGAAAAAAAAACCAUCAAAUAAUAUCCCAUGACUAUGUUUCUUCAAUUUCAGGAGCAAUGGUGGAAUCAUAUUUUCCGAUUGAAAAACUUUUGGAAAAAUUAGGGAGCUUUGCUUAUGAAGAACUUUUAUUGUUCUGCGGUGUCAAAAAUGACUUACAAAAGUUAAAGGAGACGUUAAUCACUGUCAAAAGUGUGGUUUUGGAUGCUGAGGAAAAGCAAAUCCAUAAUCACCGGUUAAGCGAUUGGCUGGGAAAGCUUAAGGAUGCUUGUUAUGAUGCAGAAGAUGUGUUGGAUGAAUUUGACGUGGAAGAUCUACGAAGGCAAGUCAUGAAGCAAAGAAGCAUCGGAAGAAAGUUUCGUAACUUUUUUGGAAGCUCAAAUCCGAUAGCUUUUUGUUUUAGAAUGGGUCAUCAAAUCAAGAAAAUGCGAGAGAGGUUUGAUGAGAUUGCAAAAUUGAGGGGUGAGUUUAAUCUCAUUGAACGACUUGACGAUCAUCGGCGAGUUGUGCACAAAGAAAGGGAACCCACUCACUCGUUUGUGGUUUCAUCAGAUAUUAUUGGAAGAGAUAAAGAUAAAGAAAAGAUUAUUGAACUAUUGAUGCAAACAAGUGACGGCAAAAGUGAAACUGUGUCUGUGGUUCCUAUUGUGGGACUUGGAGGUUUGGGCAAGACUGCACAUGCAAAAUUGGUGUACAAUGAUCAAAGGGUAGAAGAGCAUUUUGAGUUGAAAAUCUGGAUAUGUGUUUCUGAGGAUUUUGAUGAGAGACAAAUUAUGCCAAAGAUUAUCAAGUCAAUAACUAGUCAAAACCAAGGUGACUUGGAUACAGACCAAUUGCAACGAAUCUUGCGAGAUUCUUUGAAAGGUAAGAGAUACUUGCUUGUUAUGGAUGAUGUAUGGAACGAAGAUCCUGAAGCAUGGCGUAAAUUGAAAAGCUUAUUAUUGGGAGGUGCUAACGGAAGCAAAAUUUUGGUAACCACACGUAGCAGGAAGGUUGCUUCAAUCAUGGGUACGAGGGGAGGUACUACUGGCUACAACUUACAAGUUCUACCAUUCGAGGAUUGCUUGUCGUUGUUUAUGAAAUGUGCAUUUAAAGAAGAGCAAGAUAAACAUCCGAACCUCAUAAAAAUCGGGGAAGAAAUUGUGGGAAAAUGUGGUGGAAUUCCUCUGGC